rnacentral:lncRNA from 1 species
ACUACAACACUUACCUUUUUUUCUUCAAUUAAUUUAUUUAAUUAAAAGAUUAAGUUGGUAAAUUUCAGACUCGCCUUUGUUCUUAUUAGUAAAACUCUGAUAUCAUUAAUUAUUUUUGCAGUAAUCUUUCAUGAUUUAGAAUAUUCUCUCGUACAGAUUUCCCAAUAAUAAUAAUAACAGAGUUGAUGGUUUGGACAUAUAAUAAAAGGUUCAUUUGCGUGUCUCUCAUUGAUAAUUGGUGGCCAUGUGACGUGGAAGAAAACAUUGAAAAGGAUAGGUACGUGUGGAUGCCUCGUUUGCUUGUCCCUUGAGAGUCGUUGAAUUGACCCAUGACAUCAGACCGAGUUUGGUAUAAAUAAAUAAUUGUGUCUUGAUUUAUCAAAUUUAAUUUGAUUUGUCUUUUGAAUUCAUUUUUUUUAAUUUUCUUUUAUAUUGAUCAUAUUGUAUAGCUUAUUGAUCAUGUUAAAAAAACUUAGUAUAUAAUACUGCAUAUAAGCCUUCAUAAUAAUAAUAAUAAUAACAACAAUAAUAAUGAUGAAAAUAUUCCGUGGUAAUAAUAAUAAUAAAAAUAAAUAAAUAAAGAAGAGGAAGGUUAGUUUUAGGAGUUAAUUGGAAUAAAAAAUUGAAACGGGGUUAAAUUAUAAUGUUUAGAUUCUUAAGGAUUAAGGAAAGAGCUAAGGGAGAAAUAAAAGAUUUAAUGGGGGCUAAAAUAGGAUUACAAAUUAGUCAACCUUGCUUUUAUUUGCGAGGGAUGCCGACGGCAGCUAUUAGAAGAAGAGGCUAGUUUACGAAGGGGAGAACGUAAUUUUUGUCACUGUGAUUUUAAAAAGUAAAUUUAGGGAAAAUAUUUUUAAUUAUAAUUAGUUGGAUUUAGAUACGUAUUUGAUAAAAACUGCGAUUAAAAUCUAUGUGUAGCAAAAAACAUGUAUAAAAUAUUUGGAUAAAAUGUUUAGGCUUUUUUACAAACAGUAAAAAAAAAAUUAGUAAAGAAUAUUUACGAAACUUAGUUAAAAAAACAUGUUAAAACUGAUACAUAAACCUGCGUUUUGAACUUAAUUUUUUAAUAAGUUUCGCAGUAUAAAACUCAGUUCUCUUAAUACUAAACAAGUCACCGCUAACUGUUAACGUGAAAGCUAUAAAAAAAACAAACAAAGUCUUAAACCUCGAAUUAAGAGGGGUUGGAGAGAAAGAAAGUGAAGGUAACGAGAGAAAAACAAAGGAAGAAGGAGAGAGCAAGGAAAUUAUGGUGGCUUGUGAUGAAGGUGGCCGGCCAAACUAAGAAAAAAAUUGGGGAGUUCUUGAAAUUGAAUCGGUGAUGUAAACAGUAUUUUGAUUUGAGUUAUGAUGGUAUAAGUUUGUGGUGCUAUCUUGAUAAAUUGUGAGAAUUUUAUAAGUCAUUGUUUUGUGAAUAAGAUGAUUGAAUAAGUUAUGAAAGUCUUUGAUAGCUAGUAAUUGCUGGAACAUCACACACGAUUGCUUUUAUAUUUUAACACAUUGAAUUAAUAAGCCGCGUAAUAGAAUAGUAUAAUUAUAUCUAAAAAUUUUAUUUAAUAUUUUAAAUUUUUAAAUUGAAUUAAUUAUUUGAUAUGAUAUUUAAUAUAAAUUUAUAUAAAUUUCAAGUUUGAAAAACUUACUGCCCCGUUUGUUUGCUGGAAAGUAGUUUCCUUUUGAAAAGUGAAUUCCGGGAAAGUAUUUUCCGAUGUUUGGUAGUGUAAUAGAAAAUAAGUUGGAAAACGCUUUCCAGUGUUUGGUUAUGUCAUGGAAAAUGAGCUGGAAAAUAACUUAUUAAUGUUUUAUUUUUCUCAAGUUUAUUAAAAUAAUGAGGAACAAAUCUUACAAAUUAAAAAGUUGAAUGAGAAUGAAAUUGAAAAAAAAAUAUAAUUUCAUAAAUUAUCUCAAAUAAAAUAAAUAAUAAUCAAAAUAAUAGAGAUCAAAUCUAAAAAAUUAAAAAAAAUUAAAGGUGAAGAAAUUAUAAUAAUAAUAAUUAACAUUUCAUAAAUUAUUUCAAAUAAAAUAAGUAACAAUUAAAAGAAUGAUGAUCAAAUUUGAUAGAUAAAAAAUUUCAAUAAAAAAAUGAUAAGGAAAAAGCAAAUAGCAAUUAUAAAAAUAAGGACCAAAAUUAAUAUAAAAAUUAAAUUUUAAGAGAUGGAAUUGAAAAAUAAAUAUUCAAAACAAAUUAUAUAUAGCAAUCAAAAGUUUGAGGAUCAAAUUUGAUAUAAUCAGCAAAUAAUGACAUUUCUAAAUUUUUCACAACUUCCGGAAAGUGUUUUCCGCCCAAAUUUUCCAGAAAAACACUUUCCUGAAAACCAAGCCAAAUUUUCCUUUGACUGGAAAGUGUUUUCCGUUGACCAACUUUUCUAAUGACAAACAAACAUAAGAAAAUUUGAAAAAUGGUUUUCCAGAAAUCACUUUCCAGAAAACAAACCUAGCCUUAAGAAGAUGCGUUAAUAAAUAAUAUAAUAUCUUAGUUUUAUUUCAUUAUUUGACAAAUAGUGAUGGUUUGGGAUGGGAAGCAGGAAAUUAAUCCUGGAAGGUGUCGUUUACAGGGAAGUGACUCACGUUUCAGGAUAUGGCCGGAGGGAAUUGCUCUCCAAGCUCGACCUUUUGAACUGAAGAAAGGAGGAAUUCAACCACCAAUCAAGGGGAAGCAUUUUCCAUUGACACCAUAUAUAAUUAAGAAGUUGGCCAAACCCUACAUUAAACAUCUCAGAAAGAUUUCAUACUUCACAUAUAUAUAUAUAACACAACUUAAAAGUCUGAAACUGUCAAAUACCACUGCAAUUUAUCACAAACUGCGUCAAGAGGAUACCAAUCCAAAGGCUUCCUUCACAUAGGAUAUGUCUGGCAUGCUGAUAUAGAGAUCUCAAGCACCAAAGAGUCUCCUGAUUCCUGCCUUCUGCUCUGCAUUAACCCUUGUUGGGAACCUGAUAUCAAACUUGAUUUUCAAAAUCCCUCUCUUUGUUGGGUCGCCGAGGAUCGGCAUCCCUUCAUUCGGGACAACCUUCUGAUAGUUGGGAUGGAUCACAUCAUUGAUCGGAAGGGUUAAAUUCCUGCCAUCCAAGGUUUUAAGAUGGACAGUGUAGCCUGUAAAGGCUUCGGUUACAGAAAUCCUUCGAGUGACGAUCAAGUCAUUUCCAUCACGAGUAAACUCAGAGUGGGGUUUUUCAUCAACAAUGAAGACAACAUCAGCAGGUGUUACAUUUGGUCUUUUGUUCCCUUUCUCUUCGAAAGUGAUCUUCGUGCCUUUCUUCCAACCAGGCUUUGUGUCAAUGGUUAGAAUCUCCUCUAUUUUCCUGGUGAUCAAGCUGCGCUCCAUCCCACAAAAACGAAAGAGCACAAGAAACACCAUUAACAAAGCUCUUGGACCUUUCAGUCGACUGUAAAAUGAUUAAAAAAAAAAAAACUAUCUCACACAAAUCUUUGACAACCAGAAAGCAUAUCAAGCCCAGGACCAGUUGAUCAGAGUCAACAUGUUUGAUCAAAACUACAUAAUGGUAGUUGACCAUAAAACAGGACAAAAAUGGUGAUGUUUAGGACACUUACCCACUUCGACCAGCUACUUGUCUAGUUAUUUUUACCCUCUUGGUAGCCCCUUGAUAAAGCUCUUCAAGACUACAAGGCAGGGUGUGCAUAAUUGGAGGAUCUUUAGCACUAACCCCGAAACGUUGUGCAAAAGAUCUAACGAUAUCAUCAUCAUCAUUCAUCACCAUAUACGUUAUUGGUGAAGAUUGUUCCACUCCAGUUUUGAUUUGGGCUACUAUCAGUGGAGGAGAACAUCGUUCCUCUCCAGUUUUUAUCUGGGCUAUUAUUAGUGGAAAACAUUUUUCCGUGAUAGAAGUUUGAUGAGAGAGGAAGGCAAAGAGAGUUCUUGCAGCUCAGUGUCACGCAACAGCUCUCCUUCAAGGAAAAGUAACUGUCCUAUGCUUUUAGUUGUGGGAAAAUUGAAGGACAGUGAAUGUCUUACAAAUAAAGGCAUACCUUCAAGCCGAAGUUGUUGGACUCUGUGGAAAUUAAGCUGUGAAAUGAAUUUUAUACCAUUCUCCCUCACAAUUUAUGCUCAACUUUUUCUUCAAUUAAUUUAUUUAAUUAGAGGAUUAAUUAAGAGGGUAAGAUUAAUUAGACUCCUCGUCGUUUUUAUUAGUAAAAUCUUGAUAUGAUGUUAAAAAUAUCUUAACUUAAAAUCCAGAGUGUAGAAUAAAAAUUCUAGAAUGAUUUUAAAGAUUUACGCAUAAAGAUUAGAAAGUAAAAGGACUGGAUUAAGAAAAUUUAAAGAUUAAAGGGUGAAAUGUACGAUUAACCAGGAGUUUCACUUUUGGGAAAUUGUAAGGAACACACAUAAACCCCAAAACUACAGUUUCAAGUACCAAAAAAAAAGCUAUUUGAGAUUAUUAUGCACAAAACGGAUAGCCAACUUUAAUAACACUAAACCUAUUAAAUUAUAAAUAAAAUAUUAUAAAGAUAGAUAAUCCUGAUAAUGUUAUAAUGAAACCCAAUUAGGUUAGAAAUCCUAGCAUUGCAGGCAACAUGAGUGCAUUUUAUAUUUUUAUCAGUGCCUUGAUUUUCUGCUCAAAUCCUGUGUGCUUUGAUGCUUGAUAUGGCAUGUUUUUUUGUAUUUUUUUUAUUUUAAAAACACAUAAAUUUACUUAAAACUAUUCUGAAAACAUAUUUAUUUUAUGUUUUUGUCUUAAUGUUUUUAAUCAACACGUUUUUAUCUCUUUUAUAUCUAUUUUUUUUUAUAUCUUGAAACACUAUCCACAACCUGACAGAUGAUAGUGUGAUUUCUUGUUUUUUUUCCCUGCUUGCAAUGAAUUCAUUGUCGGAAUACUUUUAUUAGUUGUUUUAAGAUUGGCAUAUAUUACAACAACAGCUGCUGUAGUUCUAAGGGUCAAGAAAUUCAAUGUAUCCAUCUCAUACAUAUACUGAAGAACACAUCAACGUGGACUUGGAUGGGGAUGGAACCAGGGAGAGAGAUGGAGAGCAAAAUGGGGAUCCAGAUUAUGGCUCCAAAUCUUCUUUCUCAGAUUUCAGUGACUAGAGAAAUAACCUUAUAGUUUUUAGAGUAUUGUUGAUGCAUGCGAAAUACUCAAUUUCUCAAUUUAACCUCCUCCGAGCUCGGGUUACAGAAGAAGGAGAAGGAACCGAGAGGAAGGUAUAGGCAACAACAGGUUUUAUUACAGGGCAGCUCAUGUUUCUUACAUCGUAUGUCCUUUUACUGCACUACUAUGUAAUUGAAGUUCAUGUAUUUAUAUAGGAAUCAGUGCCCGUGCGAAGCUAUAUAUCACCUUCACUGUAAUGGAGAUCAAUCAAGAUGUCAAUGAACUAGUACUUUGGGGUGCUUUGCUGUUCUGUUAAUUUAUGGUGAUGUGAUGAUGGUGGAGGAAGAGCAGUAAUAUUUGGGGGCUUGUGGUGUUUAGGAUUUGGGUUAAUGCUAAAUUUGCACCUCUAUUCUUUAUUGUACCUUGCUUUGUGUUGCUGUUAAAUCCAUCCUUAUACUUUUAAUCUUUCUCUAGUUUGGUCCUUUUGCUUAUGGUUGGGUCAAUACCCUUGAAUCGACUUGAUUAUCUUUUGUUGUAUUCAGGACUAAGUUACUAAAUUCAGCUUGGACCGGUUUAAAUAUAGAAGAAUCCAAAAUAAAAAUAUUUUGAAGAAUUUUUUAAAAUCAAAUCAGAUUUUAACAUGAUUAUGAGUUGAUUUAUUGGAUCGAUCAAGUCAAAUCAAAUCAAUUUUAAAAUAAUUUAUUUUUUAAAUUAGAUCUAAACUAAAAAUUAGGUCAGCUUAAUUGACUCAUUAGAUCAAUCAGUUUAAUAAUUACAAUUUAAGAGUAUAUAGAUUUUUUAAUUAUUUUUUCUCUCAUGUAGUCUAAAUUUCAAUAGAUCAUACAAUCAAUUAUUUUUUAAUCGACUCAGAUAUUCAAUAUCAUAAAAAAAUUAUAUAAAUUAUAUAUUUUUGAAUCUCAUCCAUCGGCACAAGUUUUUAUCAUGAUAUGAGAAAUUAAAUGAAGUAAAUGCUCUUUCAAAUUGUACCUUUUACUGUCAAGAAAGGAAAGAUUCAACAACAAUCAAGGGAAACCAGUUUUCAUUAAGAACGUUAUGAAGAAGAUGGUCAAACCCUGCAUUCAACAUCGAUCUCAGAAAGAUGCCAUACUUCACUCACACACACAGACACAGACACACACACAAACUGCAGCAAGAGGAUACCAAUCCAAAGGCUUCCUUCCCAUAGGAGAUUUCUCACAUGCUGAUAUUGAGAUCUCAAGGACCAAAGAGUCUCCUCAUUCCUGCCUUCUGUAGUGCAUUAAUCCUUGUUGGGAACCUGAUAUCGAACUUGAUUUUCAAAACCCCUCUCUUUGAUGGAUCGCCGAGGAUGGGCAUCCCUUCAUUCGGGACAACCUUCUGAUAGUUGGGAUGGAUCACAUCAUUGAUCGGAAGGGUUAAAUUCCUGCCAUCUAAGGUAAUAAUACGGCCAGUGUAGCCUGUAAAGGCUUCAGUUACAGAAAUCCUUCGAGUGACGAUCAAGUCAUUUCCAUCACGAGUAAACUCAGAGUGGGGUUUUUCAUCAACAAUGAAGACAACAUCAGCAGGUGUUAUAUUUGGUCUUUCGUUCCCUUUCUCUUCGAAAGUGAUCUGCGUGCCUUUCUUCCAACCAGGCUUUGUGUCAAUGGUUAGAAUCUCCUCUGUUUCCCUGGUCAAGCUGCGCUCCAUCCCACAAAAAAGAAAGAGCACAAGAAACACCAUUAACAAAGCUCUUGGACCUUUCAGAAGACUGUAAAAUGAUGAAAAAUAACUAUCUCACAUAAAUCUUUGACAACAAGAAAGCAUAUCAAGCCCAGGACCAGUUGAUCAGAGUCAACAUGUUUGAUCAAAACUACAGAAUGGCAGUUGAACUUAAAACGGGACCGAAAAGGUGAUGUUUAGGACACUUACCCUCUUCGAUCAGCUACUUGUCUAGUUAUUUUUACCCUCUUGGUAGCCCCUUGAUAAAGCUCUUCAAGACUACAAGACAGGGUGUGCUUAAUUGCAGGAUCUUUUCCAGGAGCACUAACCACGACACUUUCUUCAAAAGAUCUAACGAUACCAUCACCCUGUAUGUUAAUGGAGAGCUCUGUUCCUCUCGUGUUUUGAUUUGGGCUAUUAAACCCGAAAGAUUCAGCAAAGAUAGCAUCAACUGCUGCCCUACUAUGACUAGUCAUGUCGUUGAUAGAAGGUGGAUGAAAGGAAAGCAAAGAGAACUGUUCUAGCCCAGUGUAAUGCAACUGCUCUACUUAUAGGAAAAGUUAAUUUCCUACGUAGCUAGCAUACUUCAAGUUGUGGAAAAAUUGAAGCACAGUGAUUAGCUUACAAAUGAAGAAAACUUAAUGGCUAAGCUGUUAAAAAAAUUUAGAAAAUACAGAAGGUCGCUAACAUUAAAUAUAUACUUUGUUUUAUAUUUGUUUUUUAAUUUUUUUUUAAUUUUAAUUUUAGUUAUUGUUAAUAUUUUUAUUAAGAUAUAUAAUUUUAAAUUUAUUUAAUUAUAUAUUCGAAUAGGCUUUUUAAUUUACAUUUUAUCUUUUUUUUAUGUAUAAAAAUACAAUGAAAAAACUUUGCUAUACAAUUUUUUAUAUAUAUAUAUAAUUGCACGGAUAUAAUAGAUAGUAACCACUAUGUUCCGUUAUUUGAUGUUGGUGUUGCACUAUUUUCCAUAUUUUUGGAGAAUAAUUUCAUGAAAAGGUGUGACUGUGAAUGAAUUACAAGGCAAAACACAGAAUUCUAUGGGGGCGAUGAUAAAUAUUUGUGCACUGGAAUGUCAGGAAUAUAAAUGCUCUUUACUUCUUUCUUUAGGUUGAGAAAAGGGUAGUUUUUGUUUGUCAUUACGCUAUUUUUUAUAGUUAUGGAUUAAAAAAAAGUAUAUUUUUAAAAAAAUAUAUUUUUUAUUAUAAUUUAAAAAACAUAUGUUUUAAAAAAAUACAUGUUUAAUUAAAAUUAUUAGUGAGAUAAAUUUUUAUAUGAAAAAUAUAUAUUAAUAAAUAAAGACAGUGUUUGAUAUUAUGUUAACGAUUAUUUUUUAAAGUAUUUUUCGCUUGAAAAUACAUCAAAAUAAUAUUUUUUAUUUUUUAAAAUUUAUUUUUAACACCAGCAUAUCAAAACUAGAAACACAAAAAAAAAAAAAAUUAAAAAAAAAGAGUCAUUGCCGCAUAAGCAAAUUGCUUCGAAAAACCAGUUAUUUUAUUUUCUAUAUAACUAAGGUUUGAAAUGCAGUUAUGAAUGGAGCCCAGUAUGAAAUACAGAAAUUAUAUAGCUAGCUAAAUGGUUUUUUCUACGUGGUUAAGCAAAAAAAAAGCUAUUAUAAUAUCAAAUGGUUUCUAAAUGUGUAUUUGAUAUUGUAAUGCAAGAUACUUUUUAAAAGUGUUUUUUACUUGAAAAUACAUUAAUUUUUAUUUUAUUUUUAGCAUUAACUCAUCAAUAUAAUCAGAAAAUAUCAAAAAAAUCAAUUUAAUAUUUUUUUCAAAUCAAACAUACUUUUAAAACACACUAAAAUGUAGCUUCAAGCACAAAAACAAGCAGACAAUAAGUGCUUGUUUGAGAUUGUGAUAAAAAUUGCGUUUCAAAAUGUUUUUCGUUUACAAAUACAUCAAAAUAAUAUUUUCUUUUAAUUUUUGAUAUUAAUACAUCAAAACAAUAAAAAAAAAUAUCAAAAAAUAAUAACAAUUCAACCACAACAGACGAAAUAAGCACUAAGUUGUGUAACCUAAUUUUAUGUUACUUUGGACUGAAGGAAGUAACAGUGAAUCAACGGAACAUUUAGUCACUAAAUACAUGCUAACAAAAGCAAAUAAGCUACGUCUGCUUGAUCUCCAAAAAGUAAAAGCAAUUACUGAUCUAGAUGAUACUAUACUGAUCAUUGAUGAUUUUAUUAAGCUCGAUGUGCUGAAAACUGUCACGUUAUUCUAUAAGUUGAUUCUGAUGAAUAAAAUACUUUAAUUUGAAGAAAAUAUACGUUGGUUGGAUUCCACUACUCCCAAAACAAGGUGGUUGUGUGGAUUUGGUUUUCAUGGGUGAGAUUCUGCAUCUUACAGAAUCACCAUGGUUUUGUAAUAGCACGUUUCUUGUUCUUGAAAGGGGAAAUAAAGAAAAAAGAAUGGUUAGCACAGCUGAUUUUAAUCAUGUCGUCUUCUUGUAGGAAUCCACUCAUAUAUAUUCACCAUCUUUGCAUAAAGUUGAUGGCACACUGUUCUGAACUAAAGAGAAAGAAAACAAGGAUGCACCCCAAAUCAACAAGAGCUAAUUUUAAUUGAAAUUGUAACUGAUAAAUUCUUCAGUACACCUUUAAGCACAUCGAUGUAUUUAGAAAGAUGGCAUUCUUGCUCUGAAACUGAAAACUAAUAAAAACUGGGAGCGUAUAUAACAAGUUCUGUAUCAAAAAGAACCAAUCUAAAUACUACGUUCUAUGUAAUUUGUAUUUACAAAACUGCUCCAUUUCUAUGGAGAUGUGUUGUGCAUUAAAUAUUGGCAUUGAUGUUCUCAGCCCAAGAGUUUUUUGAUUCCUGCCUUCUGCUCUGCAGUUAACCUUGUUGGAAACUUGAUGUUGAACUUGAUCCUCAGAUUUCCUCUCUUUGUUGGGUCCUUUUGGAUUGGCAUCCCUUCCCUUGGGACAACCUCCUCAUAGUUUGGAUCAAUCACGGUGUUGAUCGGAAUGGUCAAAUUCCUUCCAUCUAAGGUGGUGAGAUGGACAGUGUAACCUGUCAAGGCUUCAGCUAAGGGAAUCUUCUGUGUGACAAUCAAGUCGUUUCCAUCACGAGUGAACACAGGGUGAGGUUUUUCAACUUGCAAUAUCUUGUAGUAAUCCACUCCCAUUGCGUUGCUGCUGCCUCCUCCUCCUCCUCCUCCUCCUCCUCUCUUUCUCUUCUUCACUUUGCUUAUCUUGGUUUUUCUACUUCAAAAAAAUCCUGGGGUGCUUUGCUCGCUCGCUUUUGUUAUGUUAAUUUACGGUAAUGUGAUGAUGGUGGAGGUAGAGUAGUAAUAUUUGGGGGUUUGUGGUGUUUAGGAUUUGGGUUAAUGCUAAAAAUUUGCACCUCUAUUCUUUAUUGUAACUUGCUUUGUGUUGCUGUUAAAUCCAUCCUUAUACUUUUAAUCUUUCUCUAGUUUGGUCCUUUUGCUUAUGGUUGGGUCAAUACCCUUGAAUCGAAUUGAUUAUAUUUUGUUGUAUUUAGGGCCAAGUUACUAAAUUCAGCUUUGCCUAGGGCUAAGUGACAGAUUGAGUAUGUCAAUUUGAUCAAUUUAAAACAAAGUUUUUUUUAAAGAUUUUUUUUAAAUCAAACCAGAUUUUAAUUAGAGUUAAUCUAUUAAGAGUAUGUUUGGUAUUGCGGUUGCUGUUAUGGUUGUGGUUUUAAAAAAGUUGUUUUAUAAAAAGUACUUUUAAUUGAGGUUGGUUUUGAAAAAUAUAUGUUUGGUUAAAACUGUAGUUGAAAUUGAGGUUGGACAAAAAAUAGUUUAAUGUGUUUGCUUAAAAAAAUGCUUUUCAAAUUGAGGUUAUAAAAUAAUUAAAAAAUAUUUUUAAUUUAAAUAUUGUAGAUUUAACUACUAUUAUUAUAUAAUGAAAUAAAUAAUAUUGAUAUCAAAAUUUGUUUAUUAUUCCAUUAAACUAUAUGCAACGUCAUCACAUAUGAAAUCUAUCCAACAAUAACUAUAUUUUUCAUGGUUUCUUAAGCACGCAACAACAAAAACUAAAUUUUUUGUUACGUUAUCAAGUGAUAUCCUUCUAAUUUUGUGAAUAAAACACAAUUAAAAUAAAAAUAAAAACUGAAUUUUUUUUAACUGGGUCGGACCCGGCAAGAACAUUACUGGAAUUGCGAUCAAAUUCCACAAAUGCUACGUCAUCAUGCGAUAUCCUUCUAAUUUAUGUAGUGUUAUUAAAUAAUAUUAAAUACUAGUUUUUCGAGUAAAACUCAAUUUUUUUUAAAAAAAUUACAAUUUCAUUACGUACAAAAUUCAUUUGACAAGAACUAUAGUUUUCAUGAUUUUUUGAGCGUGCAAUAUAAUUAGAUAAAAUAUUAUCAGGAAUAAAAUUGAAAUUACAGUACGAGUAAAUUUAAUUCACCUUAAACUAAUUUUUUAAAAAAACAAAAAAAAAUUGUUGUUCACAUUCACGUGAAUAAUUCGAGUGAAAUUAAUUAACUAUACUGGUUUUUUUUUAUAAAAAAAAACUGUUCACUUUAGUGAACAGUGCGACAGUGGAGCAUGGCUUCACUGUUCACUGAACAUUGGUCAUUGGAAAAUCACCACGAAUGCUGCUUCUCCAAACCUGUGGCACGGCAGCAAAAAUUGGUAGGUUCUACGAAGAAAAAUCACUUUUUUUCUGUUACCAAACACUGAUAUAUGUGGCUGCGGGUGAACCUCACCCGUAAUCACAUUACCAAACAACGUCUAAGUCGUUCAAGUCAAAUCAAAACAAUUUUUAAUUAAUUAUUUUUUAAAAUUAAACCUGGACCAGGGGUUGAAUCAGCUUGAUUUACCAAUUAAAUCAAAUCGAGUUUAAUCAUUGUGAUUAAGAGUAUAUAGAUUUUUUUAAUUAUUUUUUCUCUGAUGUAGUCUAAAUUUCAAUAGAUGAUGCAAUCAAGUAUUUUUGAUCGACUUAGAUAUUCAAUAACAUAAAAAAAAUUAUAUAAAUUAUAUGUUUUUGUAUCUCAUCCAUCGGCACAAGUUUUUAUCAUGAUAUGAGAAAUUAAAUGAAGUAAAUGCUCUUUCAAAUUGUACCUUUUACUGUCAAGAAAGGAAAGAUUCAACAACAAUCAAGGGAAACCAGUUUUCAUUAAGAACAUUAUGAAGAAGAUGGUCAAACCCUGAAUUCAACAUCUCAGAAAGAUGCCAUGCUUCACACACACACAGACACAGACACAGACACACACACAAACUGCAGCAAGAGGAUACCAAUCCAAAGGCUUCCUUCCCAUAGGAGAUGUCUCACAUGCUGACAUAGAGAUCUCAAGACCAAAGAGUCUCCUGAUUCCGGCCUUCUGCUCUGCAUUAACCCUUGUUGGGAACCUGAUAUCAAACUUGAUUUUCAAAAUCCCUCUCUUUGUUGGGUCGCGGAGGAUCGGCAUCCCUUCAUUCGGGACAACCUUCUGAUAGUUGGGAUGGAUCACAUCAUUGAUCGGAAGGGUUAAAUUCCUGCCAUCUAAGGUAAUAAGAUGGACAGUGUAGCCUGUAAAGGCUUCAGUUACAGAAAUCCUUCGAGUGACGAUCAAGUCAUUUCCAUCACGAGUAAACUCAGAGUGGGGUUUUUCAUCAACAAUGAAGACAACAUCAGCAGGUGUUACAUUUGGUCUUUCGUUCCCUUUCUCUUCGAAAGUGAUCUCCGUGCCUUUCUUCCAACCAGGCUUUGUGUCAAUGGUUAGAAUCUCCUCUGUUUCCCUGGUCAAGCUGCGCUCCAUCCCACAAAAAAGAAAGAGCACAAGAAACACCAUUAACAAAGCUCUUGGACCUUUCAGAAGACAGUAAAAUGAUAAAAAAAAAAAAAAAAAUAACUAUCUCACACAAAUCGCUGACAACAGGAAAGCAUAUCAAGUCCAGGACCAGUUGAUCAGAGUCAACAUGUUUGAUCAAAACUACAGAAUGGCAGUUGAACAUAAAACGGGACCGAAAUGGUGAUGUUUAGGACACUUACCCCCUUUGAUCAGCUACUUGUCUAGUUAUUUUUACCCUCUUGGUAGCCCCUUGAUAAAGCUCUUCAAGACUACAAGACAGGGUGUGCUUAAUUGCAGGAUCUUUUCCAGGAGCACUACCCACGACACUUUCUUCAAAAGGCCUAACGAUACCAUCACCAUCUCUGUUAUUGGAGAACUCUGUUCCUUUCCUGUUUUGAUUUGGGCUAUUAAACCCGAAAGAUUCAGCAAGACGGUAAAAAUAACUUGAAAAGAUUCCUCUUUUGUUUUCAAAAGAUUCAUCAUCUGCUGCCCUACUAUGACUAGUCAUGUCGUUGAUAGAAGGUGGAUGAAAGAAAGGCACAGAGAACUGUUCUAGCCCAGUGUAAUGCAACUGCUCUACUUAUAGGAAAAGUAAUUGUCCUACGUAGCUAGCAUACUUCAAGUUGUGGAAAAAUUGAAGCAUAGUGUUUGGCUUACAGAUGAAGAAAACUUAGUCCCGUGCUGGAAAAUAGUUUUUUUUUUUUAAAUAAAUUUUGAAAAAGUAAAUUUCAAGAAAGUGAAUUAUUUUCUGAUGUUUGAUAGUGUAAUGAAAAAUAAGUUAGAAACCACUUUUCAGUGUUUGGUUAUGUCAUUGAAAAUGAGCUGGGAAAUAACUUAUUAAUGUUUUAUUUUUUUCAAGUUUAUUAAAAUAAUAAGAAACAAAUCUUAUAAAUUAAAAAGUUGAUUGAGAAUGAAAUUAAAAAAAAUAUAUAAUUUCAUAAAUUAUCUCAAAUAAAAUAAAUAAUAAUAAAAAUAAUAGAGAUCAAAUCUAAAAAAUAAAAAAAUUAAAAGAUGAAGAAAUUAAAAUAAUAAUAAUUAACAUUUGAUAAAUUAUUUCAAAUAAAAUAAGUAAUAAUCAAAAGAAUGAGGACCAAAUUUGAUAGAUAAAAAAUUUCAAUUAAAAAAUGAUAAGGGAAAAGCAAAUAACAAUUAUAAAAAUAAAGACCAAAGUUAAUAUAAAAAUUAAAUUCUAAGGGAUGAAAUUGAAAAACAAAUAUUCAAAAUAAAAUAUAUAUAGCAAUCAAAAGUUUGAGAAUCAAAUUUGAUAUAAUCAGCAAAUAAUAUGAUAUUUCUAAAUUUUUCACAACUUCCAGAUAGUGUUGUCCGUCCAAAAUAGGCCCCGUUUGUUUGCUGGAAAGUAGUUUUCUUUUGGAAAGUAAAUUCCGGGAAAGUGAAUUAUUUUCUGAUGUUUGGUAGUGUAAUGAAAAAUAAGUUGGAAAACACUUUCCAGUGUUUGGUUAUGUCAUUGAAAAUGAGCUGGGAAAUAACUUAUUAAUGUUUUAUUUUUCUCAUGUUUAUUAAAAUAAUGAGGAACAAAUCUGAUAAAUUAAAAAGUUGAAUGAGAAUGAAAUUGAAAAAAAAUAUAAUUUCAUAAAUUAUCUCAAAUAAAAUAAAUAAUAAUCAAAAUAAUAGAGAUCAAAUCUAAAAAAUAAAAAAAAUAAAAGAUGAAGAAAUUAAAAUAAUAAUAAUUAACAUUUCAAAAAUUAUUUCAAAUAAAAUAAGUAACAAUCAAUAGAAUGAGGACCAAAUUUGAUAGAUAAAAAAUUUCAAUAAAAAAAUGAUAAGGGAAAGGCAAAUAAUAAUUAUAAAAAUGAAGAUCAAAUUUAAUAUAAAAAUUAAAUUUUAAGAGAUGAAAUUGAAAAAUAAAUUUUCAAAACAAAAUAUAUAUAACAAUUAAAAGCUUGAGGACCAAAUUUGAUACAAUCAGUAAAUUAUAUGACAUUUUUAAUUUUUUCACAACUUCCGGAAAGUGUUUUCUGCCCAAAUUUUUCAGGAAAACACUUUCCUGGAAACAAGCCAAAUUUUCUUUUUGACUGAAAAAUGUUUUCCGUUGACCAACUUUCUUAAUGACAAACAAACACAGAAAAGUUUGGAAAGUAGUUUCCGGGAAACAAACAUAGCCUAAAAGGAAAACAUUUUCUUGGAAACCAAGCCAAAUUUUCCUUUGACUGAAAAGUGUUUUCCGUUGACCGAAAGGUGUUUUUCGUUUACCAACUUUUCUAACGGCAAACAAACACAAGAAAGUUUGGAAAGUGGUUUUCCGGAAAUCAUUUUUCGGGAAACAAACGCAGCCUUAAUGACUAAGCUGUUAAAAAAAUAGGAAAUAUAGAAGGUCACAAAAAUUAAAUACUUUGAUUUAUAUUUGUUUUUUAAUUUUUUUUAAUUUUAAUUUAGUUAUUGUUAAUAUUUUUUUAUUAAGAUAUAUAAUUUUUAAUUUAUUUAAUUAUAUAUUUGAAUAGGCUUUUUAAUUUACAUUUAAUCUUUUUUAUGUAUAAAAAUACAAUAAAAAAACUUUGCUAUACAAUUUUUUUAUGUUGUUGUUCCACUAUUUUCCAUAUUUUUGGGGAAUAAUUUCAUGAAGAGGCGUGACUGUGAAUGAAUUACAAGGCAAAACUCAGAAUUCUAUGGGGGCGAUGAUAAAUAUUUGUGUACUGGAAUGUCAGGAAUAUAAAUGCUCUUUACUUCUUCCUUCAGGUUGAGAAAAGGGUGGUUUUUGUCUGUCAUUAUGCCAUUUUUUUAUAGUUAUGGAUUAAAAAAAAGUAAACUUUUUUUAAAAGUAUUUUUUUAUUAUAAUUUAAAAAACAUAGGUUUUUAAAAAAUACAUGUUUAAUUAAUAUUAUUGUUGAGAAUUUAUAUAUGAAAAGCAUAUAUUCAUAAAUAAAAAUAGUAUUUGACAUUGUGCUAGCGAUUAUUUUUUAAAGUAUUUUUUAUUUAAAAAUAUAUUAAAAUAAUAUUUUUUUUAUUUUUAAAAAUUUAUUUUUAAUACCAACAUAUUAAAAUAAUUUAUAAACACAAAAAAAAUAAUUUUUUUAAAAGAGAGUCAUGGCCGCGUAAACAAAUCACCCCAAAAAACAGGUUAUUUUAUCUUAUAUACAACUAAGGUUUGAAAUGCAGUUGUAUAUGGGUCCAAUACAAAAAAACAAAAGUUAUAUAGCUAGCUUAAUGGUUUUUUCUCUAUGGUUAAGCAAAAAAACAGAAGCUAUUACAAUAUCAAACGGUUUCUAAGUGCGUUUUUGAUAUUGUAAUAUUGUAAUGCAAGAUGCUUUUCAAAAAUAUUUUUCACUUGAAAAUACUUUAAUUUUUUUUAGCAAUAGUUCAUCAAAACCAUUAGAAAGUACUAAAAAAAUCAAUUUUAUGUUUUUUCAAGUUAAAAAUGCUUUUAAAACACACUCAAAUGCAGCUUCAAACACAAAAACAAGUAGACAAUAAAUGUUGUUUGAGAUUAUGGUAAAAAUUGUGUUUUAAAAUAAUUUUUAUUUAAAAAUAUAUUAAAAUAAUAUUUUUUUAUUUUAGAUGUUAGCACAUUAAAACGUUUAAAAAAAUAUUAAAUUUUUUUUUUUAAAAAAAAUAAAAACAAUUACCGUUCAACCACCACACCAAAUAAACACUAAGUUGUGUAACCUAAUUUUAUGUUACUUUGGACUGAAGGAAGUAACAGUGAAUCAAUGUAACAUUUAGUCACUAAAUACAUGCUAACAAAAGCAAAUAAGCUAAGUAUGCUUGAUCUCCAAAAAGUAAAAAUUAAGAAUUACUGAUCUAGCUAAGUAUGCAUCUUACAGAAUCACCAUGGUUUUGUAAUAGCACGUUUCUUGUUCUUGAAAGGGGAAAUAAAGAAAAAAGAAUGGUUAGCACAGCUGAUUUUAAUCAUGUCGUCUUCUUGUAGGAAUCCACUCAUAUAUAUUCACCAUCUUUGCAUAAAGUUGAUGGCACACUGUUCUGAACUAAAGAGAAAGAAAACAAGGAUGCACCCCAAAUCAACAAGAGCUAAUUUUAAUUGAAAUUGUAACUGAUAAAUUCUUCAGUACACCUUUAAGCACAUCGAUGUAUUUAGAAAGAUGGCAUUCUUGCUCUGAAACUGAAAACUAAUAAAAACUGGGAGCGUAUAUAACAAGUUCUGUAUCAAAAAGAACCAAUCUAAAUACUACGUUCUAUGUAAUUUGUAUUUACAAAACUGCUCCAUUUCUAUGGAGAUGUGUUGUGCAUUAAAUAUUGGCAUUGAUGUUCUCAGCCCAAGAGUUUUUUGAUUCCUGCCUUCUGCUCUGCAGUUAACCUUGUUGGAAACUUGAUGUUGAACUUGAUCCUCAGAUUUCCUCUCUUUGUUGGGUCCUUUUGGAUUGGCAUCCCUUCCCUUGGGACAACCUCCUCAUAGUUUGGAUCAAUCACGGUGUUGAUCGGAAUGGUCAAAUUCCUUCCAUCUAAGGUGGUGAGAUGGACAGUGUAACCUGUCAAGGCUUCAGCUAAGGGAAUCUUCUGUGUGACAAUCAAGUCGUUUCCAUCACGAGUGAACACAGGGUGAGGUUUUUCAACUUGCAAUAUCUUGUAGUAAUCCACUCCCAUUGCGUUGCUGCUGCCUCCUCCUCCUCCUCCUCCUCCUCCUCUCUUUCUCUUCUUCACUUUGCUUAUCUUGGUUUUUCUACUUCAAAAAAAUCCUGGGGUGCUUUGCUCGCUCGCUUUUGUUAUGUUAAUUUACGGUAAUGUGAUGAUGGUGGAGGUAGAGUAGUAAUAUUUGGGGGUUUGUGGUGUUUAGGAUUUGGGUUAAUGCUAAAAAUUUGCACCUCUAUUCUUUAUUGUAACUUGCUUUGUGUUGCUGUUAAAUCCAUCCUUAUACUUUUAAUCUUUCUCUAGUUUGGUCCUUUUGCUUAUGGUUGGGUCAAUACCCUUGAAUCGAAUUGAUUAUCUUUUGUUGUAUUUAGGGCCAAGUUACUAAAUUCAGCUUUGCCUAGGGCUAAGUGACGGAUUGAGUAUGUUAAUUUGAUCAAUUUAAAACAAAGUUUUUUUAAAGAUUUUUUUUAAAUCAAACCAAAUUUUAAUUAGAAUUAAUCUAUCAAGUCAUUUAAGUCAAAUCAAAUAAAUUUUUAUUUGAUUAUUUUUUAAAAUUAGACUUGAACUAGAAUUGAAUCAGCUUGAUUAACCUAUUAAAUCAAACCAAGUUUAAUCAUUGUAAUUCAAGAGUAUAUAGAUUGUUUUAACUAAUUUUUCUUUGAUGUAGUCUAAAUUUCAAUAGAUCAUGCAAUCAAGUAUUUUUUGAUCGACUCUCAGAUAUUCAAUAACAUAAAAAAAAAAUUAUAAAUUAUAUAUUUUUGAAUCUCAUCCAUCGGCACAAGUUUUUAUCAUGAUAUGAGAAAUUAAAUGAAGUAAAUGCUCUUUCAAAUUGUACCUUUUACUGUCAAGAAAGGAAAGAUUCAACAACAAUCAAGGGAAACCAGUUUUCAUUAAGAACAUUAUGAAGAAGAUGGUCAAACCCUGCAUUAAAACAUCUCAGAAAGAUGCCAUACUUCACACAGACACACACAAACACAAACACAAACUGCAGCAAGAGGAUACCAAUCCAAAGGAUCCCUUCCCAUAGGAGAUGUCUCACAUGCUGAUAUAGAGAUAUCAAGGACCAAAGAGUCUCCUGAUUCCUGCCUUCUGCUCUGCAUUAACCCUUGUUGGGAACCUGAUAUCAAACUUGAUUUUCAAAAUCCCUCUCUUUGUUGGGUCGCCGAGGAUCGGCAUCCCUUCAUUCGGGACAAACUUCUGAUAGUUGGGAUGGAUCACAUCAUUGAUCGGAAGGGUCAAAUUCCUGCCAUCUAAGGUAAUAAGAUGGACAGUGUAGCCUGUAAAGGCUUCAGUUACAGAAAUCCUUCGAGUGACGAUCAAGUCAUUUCCAUCACGAGUAAACUCAGAGUGGGGUUUUUCAUCAACAAUGAAGACAACAUCAGCAGGUGUUAUAUUUGGUCUUUCGUUCCCUUUCUCUUCGAAAGUGAUCUUCGUGCCUUUCUUCCAACCAGGCUUUGUGUCAAUGGUUAGAAUCUCCUCUGUUUUCCUGGUCAAGCUGCGCUCCAUCCCACAAAAAAGAUAGAGCACAAGAAACACCAUUAACAAAGCUCUUGGACCUUUCAGAAGACUGUAAAAUGAUGAAAAAUAACUAUCUCACACAAAUCUUUGACUACAGGAAAGCAUAUCAAGUCCAGGACCAGUGAUCAGAGUCAACAUGUUUGAUCAAAACUACAGAGCAGGUGACCAUAAAACAGGACCAGUUGACACUAGUUGACCAUAAAACAGGACCAGAGAGGUGAUGUUUAGGACACUUACCCACUUCGAUCAGCUACUUCUCUAGUUAUUUUUACCCUCUUGGUAGCCCCUUGAUAAAGCUCUUCAAGACUACAAGGCAGGGUGUGCUUAAUUGCAGGAUCUUUUCCAGGAGCACUAACCCCGAAGCUUUGUUCACAGGAUCUAGAGAUAUCAUUAUCAUCGCCAUUUAUGUUACUGGAGAUCCCUGUUGCUCUCCUGUUUUGAUUUGGGCUAUUAGACCCGAAAAAUCCAGCAAAGAUAUCAUCAGCUGACCUACUGGAGAUCCCUGUUUCUCUCCUGUUUUGAUUUGGGCUAUUAGACCCGAAAAAUCCAGCAAAGAUAUCAUCAGCUGACCUACUCUGACUAGUCAUCUCGUUGAUAGAAGGUGGAUGAAAGAAAGGCAAAGAUAACUGUUCUAGCUCACUGUAAUGCAACUGCUCUUAAAGGAAAAGGAAAAGGAAAAGUAAACUAUAGGCUAUAGGUGUAAUGCAACUGUUGAGUUUAUUUUCCUUAGUUAGAGUUUUAUAAAUUUUAGAAUGAUUAAAACUUUUAUAAUUAUUAAUUUUAAAAUUUAUAGAAUUAAUAAAGAUACCCACAAUCCAAUAAAUACAUUCACAUUAAUUAAAUAAAAGAAAAGUCUCUCAGGAUUUAAAGUGGUGGAGAAUUGAAGGACGGUGAUUGGCCAGGCAUAACAUAAAGCUUAAGUUGUUGGACUGGGUGGAACUAUUUGAAAACGAUUUGCUUAGGAGACACAGACUACAACACUUACCUUUUUUUCUUCAAUUAAUUUAUUUAAUUAAAAGAUUAAGUUGGUAAAUUUUAGACUCUGAUAUCAUUAAUGAUUUUUAAUUUUUUAUAGUAAUCAUUAAUGAUUUAGAAUAUCCUCUCGUACAGAUUUCCCGAUAAUAAUGACAGAGUUCUUGGCGAUGUGAUGUGAAAGAAAACGUUGAAAAAGAUAGGAACAUGUGAAUGCCUCGUUUGCUUGUCCCUUAUAGUCAAUAUCAAAUAAGAUAACGGAGACCGAGUAGAGUCGUUGAAUUGACCCAUGAUAUCAGAACGAGUUUUAUAUAAAUAAAUAAUUGUGUAUCGAGGCUUCUGGCCCAGUGACAGAGGUUUUCUUGCCUCUGUCACCUGGAUUCGAGCCUCAACGUGCACACCUGUCACCCUCGCGGUGUCUUACCUGUCUACUGGGCUUGCAGGGUGUUCAGUGGAUCUGGGAUUUAGUUGUGGUGCGCGUAAGCUGACCCGGACACCCCAGGUUACAAAAAAAAAAUUGUGUCUUGAUUUAUCAAAUUUAAUUUGAUUUGUCUUUUAAAUUCAUUUUUUUUAAUUCUUUAGUUUUAAAUUUUCUUUUAUAUUGAUCAUAUUGUAUAGCUUAUUGAUUAUGUUAAAAAAAUUUAAUAUAUAAUACUGUAUAUAACCCUUCAUAAUGAUAAUGAUAAUAAUGAUAAUGAUGAAAAUAUUCUGUUCUAAUAAUAAAUAAAUAAAGAAGAGGAAGGUUAGUUUUAGGAGUUAAUUGGAAUAAAAAAUUGAAAUGGGGUUAAAUUAUAAUGUUUAGAUUCUUAAGGAUUAAGGAAAGAGCUCAGGGAGAAAUAAAAGAUUUAAUGGGGGCUAAAAUAGGAUUACAAAAUAGUCAACCUUGCUUUUAUUUGUGAGGGAGGCCGACGGCAGCUAUUGGAAGAAGGGGGGAGGGUUUUCUUUCAAAACUACCUCUAGUUUUUCCUUUAAAUUGCAAGGGAUUCAGAGUUAAAGUGGGUGGUGAGGCUAGUUUAUGAAAGGGAGAACAUUUAGGGUGUAUUUGUUUUUGAGAUAAUUUUUGUGGUUGUGGUUUAAAAAAAAUAUUUUUAGUUAUAGUUAGUUCGAUUUAGAUAUGUAUUUGGUAAAAAUUGUGGUUGAAGUUUAUGUGUAGCAAAAAACAUGUAUAAAAUAUUUAAAUAAAAUAUUUUGGUAUUUUUACAAACAGUAAAAAAGAGAUCAGUAAAAUAUAUUUACAAAACUCAAUUAAAAAAUUAUGUAAAAACUGUUAUAUAAAACUUCCAUUUUAAACUCAAUUUUUUAAUGGGUUUUGCAGUAUAAAACUCAAUUUUCUUUAAUACCAAACAUGUUGCUAUGUUUAAUUCACCACUAAUGUGAAAGCUAACAAAAACAAACAAAGUCUUAGAGCAUGUUUGUUUCCGUGGUUGCUUCUGCGUUUGAAGCAAACCAUGGAAACAAAUCGUUUGCUAGAAUGAGAAACGUUAUUUACUGUGCGUAGGACUCACCAGAAUUAACGUUCCAAACGCCGGUUCGCCGAAAGCAACAUUUAUCUGCUUUUUCCUUAGCGUUUGUGCAGAGGGAAUUAAUUCACUCCGCCUGUUCACUUCAAGAAAAGUGCUGCAGCAGCUGCAUUAGUUGCCUUUAAAGAUCAAGCAAAUUUUCCAGUGAAGUUAGAUGAAUUUGACAGAGAUAUCAACUUACAGAAACGGAUGGAUAUGGAGAAAAGGGCUAAGGCUCGUCAACGCAGGAAAACUCGUUUUGAUUCGAAGAGAUUGUCAUGCAUGGAGGUGGAUAGUUCUGACGAGAAAAUUAAGGGAGAAUUGAGCACGGAUGAGAGUGAGAGUGACAGUGAAAAAAAUGAUGCUUACCAGUCAACCCGUGAUUUGUUGCUCCGGACUGCUGAGGAGAUCUUCAGUGAUGCUUCUUCUAAUAUUCCCAACUUUCAGUGGUGAAAGAAAGAUCUGAAACAUGGAAGAAAGACCCAGUGAAUUAAUUCACUUGGCAUUGUUCAUGUUAACAAUGUCUCCAAUGUGCAUUGGACCCAUAUGACCCAUUGAAUUUUUUUUUUAAUCAUGUUUGACUUGAAAAAAUAUUGUUUAAUAUUAUUCAAUAACACUAUAUAACAUAGUAUUUGCAGAAUUUGAUCGCAAUUCCAAUUUCAUUUCUAAUUAUAUUUUACCUGAUUUUAUUGCACGGUCAAAAAACCAUGAAAAUUGAAAUUCUUAUUGGAUGAAUUUCAUACGUGAUGAAAUUAUAGAUAAGUUAAUGAAACAAUAAAAAAUAUUUGAUAUAAAGUAUUAUUUAUUUAAUAAUGUAAUAGUUGUACUUAAAUUUACAAUAUUUAAAUUAAAAACCAUCAAUAUUAAUAUAUAUCUUUUUUAAUUUUUUUAUAACCUCAAUUUGAAAAGCAUUUUUUAACCAAACACAUUAAACUACUUUUUGUUCAACCUCAAUUUCAACCACAGUUUUAACCAAACAUAUAUUUUUCCAAACUAACCUCAACUAAAAGUACUUUUUAUAAAACAACUUUUUUCAAACCACAACCACAACAGUUACCGCAAUACCAAACACACUCUUAGACUUCAAAUUGAGAGGGGUUGGAGAGAAGGAAAGUGUAGGUAGCGAGAUAAAAGCAAAGGAAGAACGAGAGAGCAAGGAAAUUAUGGUUGCUUGUGAUGAAGGUGUGGCCGGCUGACGGUGUUUGUUUACGCAAUAGCUUCUGCUUUUAAAACUCAUCGUGUAAACAUUAAGUUUGGUAACAUAAAAUUCAACUGACUUUUCAUGUGGGAUCCAUAUAUAUUUUUGUUGAAAUGCUGGUUCGUGACGUCUGCAACCAGGUGAAUAUAAUUCACAUGACACUGUUCGUGUAAACAGUGCCCAGGUGAAUAACUACUUAUAUUAAAAAAAUUAUUUUUAAAAAAUUAUAUUUUACUCGAAAAACUAGUGUUUAAUAUUAUUUAAUAAUACUACAUAAAUUAGAAGGAGAUCGCUUGAUGACGUAGCAUUUGCAGAAUUUGAUCGCAAGCCCAAUUAUGUUCUUGCCGGGUCCGACCUAGUUAAAAAAAAAUUCAGUUUUUAUUUUUAUUUGUAAUUGUGUUUUAUUCAAAAAAAAUUAGAAAGAGAUUGUUUGAUGACGUAACAAAAAAUUCAGUUUUUGUUGUUGCGCGCUUAAGAAACCAUGGAAAAUAUAAUCCUUGUUGGAUAGAUUUCGUACGUGAUUAAAUUGCACAUAGUUUAAUGAAAUAAUAAAAAAUAUUUGAUAUCAAUAUUAUUUAUUUCAUGAUGUAAUAAAAGUAAUUAAAUCUACAAUAUUUAAAUUAAAAAUCAUCAAUAUUAAUAUAUAUAUAUAUAUAUAUAUAUAUAAAAAUUAUUUUAUAACCUCAAUUUGAAAAGCAUUCUUUUAACCAAACACAUUAAACUAUUUUUUGUUCAACCUCAAUUUCAACCAUAGUUUUAACCAAACAUAUAUUUUUCCAAACCAACCUCAACUAAAAAUAUUUGGCGUGCACAUAGAGAGUCGAACCCGGGACGGGGGCGGAACAAGUCACACGAUUGAUCACAGCAGCUAGGCCCUCAGUUGCAAUGUAAACAGUAUUUUGAUUUGAGUUAUGAUGGUAUAAGUUUGUGGUGCUAUCUUGAUAAAUUGUGAGAAUUUUAUAAGUCAUUGUUUUGUGAAUAAGAUGAUUGGAUAGAUUUGGCCAUGUAUAUAUUGACAGGAAACUCUUUGAUAGCUAGUAAUUGCUGGAACAUCACACACGAUUGCUUUUAUAUUUUAACACAUUGAAUUUCAUAAUAAAAUAAUAUAAAUUAUAUCUUAAUAUUUUAUUUAAUAUUUUAAAUUUUUAAAUUAAAUUAAUUCUUUGAUAUGAUAUUUAAUAUAAAUUUCAAGUUUGAGAAACUUACUUAAAAAUAUACGUUAAUAAAUAAUAUAAUCAUAUAAUCAUAUCUGAGCUUUAUUUCAUUGUUUGACAAAUAGUGAUGGUUUGGGAUGGGAAGCAGGAAAUUAAUCCUGGAAGGUGUCAUUUACAGGGAAGUGACUCAUGUUUCAGGAUAUGGCAGGAGGGAAACGCUCUCCAAGCUCGACCUUUUGAACUGAAGAAAGGAAGGAUUCAACACCAAUCAAGGGGAAGCAUUUUCCAUAAUUGACACCAUAAUUAAGAAGGUGGCCAAACCCUACAUUAAACAUCUCAGAAAGAUUUCAUACUUCAUAUAUAUAUAACACAACUUAAAAGUCUGAAACUGUCAAAUACCACAGCAAUUUAUCACAAACUGCGUCAAGAGGAUACCAAUCCAAAGGCUUCCUUCACAUAGGAUAUGUCUGGCAUGCUGAUAUAGAGAUCUCAAGCACCAAAGAGUCUCCUGAUUCCUGCCUUCUGCUCUGCAUUAACCCUUGUUGGGAACCUGAUGUCAAACUUGAUUUUCAAAAUCCCUCUCUUUGUUGGGUCGCCGAGGAUCGGCAUCCCUUCAUUCGGGACAACCUUCUGAUAGUUGGGAUGGAUCACAUCAUUGAUCGGAAGGGUUAAAUUCCUGCCAUCCAAGGUUGUAAGAUGGACAGUGUAGCCUGUAAAGGCUUCAGUUACAGAAAUCCUUCGAGUGACGAUCAAGUCAUUUCCAUCACGAGUAAACUCAGAGUGGGGUUUUUCAUCAACAAUGAAGACAACAUCAGCAGGUGUUACAUUUGGUCUUUCGUUCCCUUUCUCUUCGAAAGUGAUCUCCGUGCCUUUCUUCCAACCAGGCUUCGUGUCAAUGGUUAGAAUCUCCUCUAUUUCCCUGGUCAAGCUGCGCUCCAUCCCACAAAAAAGAAAGAGCACAAGAAACACCAUUAACAAAGCUCUUGGACCUUUCAGAAGACAGUAAAAUGAUAAAAAAAAAAUAACUAUCUCACACAAAUCUUUGACAACAGGAAAGCAUAUCAAGUCCAGGACCAGUUGAUCAGAGUCAACAUGUUUGAUCAAAACUACAGAAUGGCAGUUGAACAUAAAACGGGACCGAAAUGGUGAUGUUUAGGACACUUACCCCCUUCGAUCAGCUACUUGUCUAGUUAUUUUUACCGUCUUGGUAGCCCCUUGAUAAAGCUCUUCAAGACUACAAGACAGGGUGUGCUUAAUUGCAGGAUCUUUUCCAGGAGCACUAACCACGACACUUUCUUCAAAAGAUCUAACGAUACCAUCACCAUCUCUGUUAUUGGAGAACUCUGUUCCUUUCCUGUUUUGAUUUGGGCUAUUAAACCCGAAAGAUUCAGCAAGACGGUAAAAAUAACUUGAAAAGAUUCCUCUUUUGUUUUCAAAAGAUUCAUCAUCUGCUGCCCUACUAUGACUAGUCAUGUCGUUGAUAGAAGGUGGAUGAAAGAAAGGCACAGAGAACUGUUCUAGCCCAGUGUAAUGCAACUGCUCUACUUAUAGGAAAAGUAAUUGUCCUACGUAGCUAGCAUACUUCAAGUUGUGGAAAAAUUGAAGCAUAGUGUUUGGCUUACAGAUGAAGAAAACUUAGUCCCGUACUGGAAAAUAGUUUUUUUAAAAAAAUAAAUUUUGAAAAAGUAAAUUCCAGAAAAGUGAAUUAUUUUCUAAUGUUUGGUAGUGUAAUAAAAAAUAAGUUAGAAAAUACUUUCCAGUGUUUGGUUAUGUCAGAAAAGUAUUUUUUUAUUAUAAUUUAAAAAACAUAGGUUUUUUAAAAAUACAUGUUUAAUUAAUAUUAUUGGUGAAAAUUUAUAUAUGUAAAGCAUAUAUUCAUAAAUAAAGACAGUAUUUGACAUUGUGCUAGCGAUUAUUUUUUAAAGUAUUUUUUAUUUAAAAAUAUAUUAAAAUGAUAUUUUUUUAUUUUUAAAAAUUUAUUUUUAAUACCAGCAUAUUAAAAUAAUCUAUAAACACAAAAAAAUAAUUUUUUUAAAAGAGAGUCAUGGCCGCGUAAACAAAUCACCCCAAAAAACUGGUUAUUUUAUCUUAUAUACAACUAAGAUUUGAAAUGCAGUUGUGUAUGGGUCCAAUACAAAAAACAAAAGUUAUAUAGCUAGCUUAAUGGUUUUUUCCUCUAUGGUUAAGCAAAAAAAUAGAAGCUAUUACAAUAUCAAACGGUUUCUAAGUGCGUGUUUGAUAUUUUAAUGCCAGAUGCUUUUCAAAAAUAUUUUUCACUUGAAAAUGCAUUAAUUUUUUUUAGCAAUAGUUCAUCAAAACCAUUAGAAAGUACUAAAAAAAAUCAAUUUUAUGUUUUUUCAAGUUAAAAAUGCUUUUAAAACACACUCAAAUACAGCUUCAAACACAAAAACAAGCAGACAAUAAGUGUUGUUUGAAAUUAUGGUAAAAAUUGUGUUUUAAAAUGAUUUUUAUUUAAAAAUAUAUUAAAAUAAUAUUUUUUUUGUUUUAGAUGUUAGCACAUUAAAACGUUUAAAAAAAUAUCAAAAUUUUUUUAAAAAAAAAUUCAAAAAACAAUUACCGUUCAACAACCACACCAAAUAGACACUAAGUUGUGUAACCUAAUUUUAUGUUACUUUGGACUGAAGGAAGUAACAGUGAAUCAAUGGAACAUUUAGUCACUAAAUACAUGCUAACAAAAGCAAAUAAGCUAAGUAUGCUUGAUCUCCAAAGAGUAAAAAGAAUUACUGAUCUAGAUGAUACUAUACUGAUCAUUGAUGAUUUUAUUAGGCUCGAUGCGCUGAAAACUGUCACGUUAUUCUAUAAGUUGAUUCUGAUGAAUAAAAUACUUUCAUUUGAAGAAAAUAUACGUUGGUUGGAUUCCACUACUCCCAAAACAAGGUGGUUGUGUGGAUUUGGUUUUCAUGGGUGAGAUUCUGCAUCUUACAGAAUCACCAUGGUUUUGUAAUAGCACGUUUCUUGUUCUUGAAAGGGGAAAUAAAGAAAAAAGAAUGGUUAGCACAGCUGAUUUUAAUCAUGUCGUCUUCUUGUAGGAAUCCACUCAUAUUCACCAUCUUUGCAUAAAGUUGAUGGCACACUGUUCUGAACUAAAGAGAAAGAAAACAAGGAUGCACCAAAAAUCAACAAAAGCUAAUUUUAAUUGAAAUUGUAACUGAUAAGUUCCUCAGUACACCUUUAAGCACAUCGAUGUAUUUAGAAAGAUGGCAUUCUUGCUCUGAAACAGAAACUACUAAAAACUGGGAGCGUAUAUAACAAGUUCUGUAUCAAAAAGAACCAAUCUAAAUACUACGUUUUAUGUAAUUUGUAUUUACAAAACUGCUCCAUUUCUAUGGAGUUGUGUUGUGCAUUAAAUAUUGGCAUUGAUGUUCUCAGCCCAAGAGUUUUUUGAUUCCUGCCUUCUGCUCUGCAGUUAACCUUGUUGGAAACUUGAUGUUGAACUUGAUCCUCAGAUUUCCUCUCUUUGUUGGGUCCUUUUGGAUUGGCAUCCCUUCCCGUGGGACAACCUCCUCAUAGUUUGGAUCAAUCACGGUGUUGAUCGGAAUGGUCAAAUUCCUUCCAUCCAAGGUGGUGAGAUGGACAGUGUAACCUGUCAAGGCUUCAGCUAAGGGAAUCUUCUGUGUGACAAUCAAGUCGUUUCCAUCACGAGUGAACACAGGGUGAGGUUUUUCAUCAAUAAUGAAAACUAGAUCUGCUGGUUUUGAAUUCGGCUGCUCAUUCCCUUUCUCAGGGAAGGUGAUCUUUGUGCCCUUCUUCCAACCAGGCUUUAUGUCAAUGGUUAGAAUCUCCUCCACUUGUAUGGUCUUGCUGCACAAGAACAAAAGUGCAAGUUUAGUGAAAUGAUCUAGCAACUAAUGCUCUGCGCAUAAACAUCAUCAUCAAAAAAGCUCCAAGACUUUUACUAGAUUGUGAAUUGAUCUGGCAACUAAUCCCAUGAAUCGCUCACAACGGAGAUCAAAUUUCUUGUGUUGUGAGCAUGGACAGCAAGUAAAAUCCACGAAAACAACAUGCAUUUAUUCUUUUGGUAGGCAGCACCUCCCAUUAGGCCAUUACAUGUGGAAAAUCAAAAGGGAAAAACUUGAUGCUCAAUUUGAUAGGCAGAAACCCCUAGCAGAAAUUUACACAAACUAAAAGGAACCAUACUUCAGAAACAAACCUAGAGCAAGAUAAUUAAUGUAAGAAGAUAUAUACUUACCCACUUGCAUCGACAAUGUCCCUAGAUAUCUUCAUUCUUUUGGUAGCCCCCUUGUAAAGCUCCUCAAGACUACAAAGCAGCCUUUUCUCAAUUGGAGGAGCUUUUCUAGGAACACUUUGAUGCAUUGACCCUCCACCUCCUUCACCAAAAGAACUAAAGAUAGCAUCACCAAACAUCCCACCUGGGAACCUUGUCCCUCUCAUGCCUCCACUGCCACCUCCCAUCCCUCCAAAUGGACCUGAAGACCCGAAAAAUUCAGCAAAAAUAUCAUCAGCGUUGCGGGGAUUGAACCGAAAUGUUGUAGGCCCAUCUCCUGUGGAGAAGAAUGAAGCUCCACCAGGACCAGCACCACCAGCACCAGGUGGUGGUACUUGCCCCUUUAGACCCUCUUCACCAUGUUGGUCGUACACUGCUCUUUUUUGUGGAUCACUAAGGACCUGCAUAAAAAACAUUGAGUUUCAAUACAAAAUCAAUCAAAUAAACAAUCUUCACUAGUAAUUCCAAUUUUACAUAGAAAAUUCCCCAUGACAUCAAUGACUGAAAAUCCAAGUUAAUACUCCAAAGUUUCUAUGUUGAUAAACGCCAUUAAAGAUUGAAACUAUGGUGUUGUUGACUUAUAAGAACCAGAUAAUUAUAAUGAUAAUAGUAACGAACACAAUAAACUACAAAUCCCAGAAAUUUAACCAUGAAAUCCCAAUAAAGAUAGAAACUUUAUUUUAUCCAACAUGAAUAAAAGCCAACAAAUUUGAAUAUUUUCUAAUAUGAAACAGAGAGUUCCUCAAGAUAACAGUUAAAAAAAGCACAAUAAACUACAAAUCCAAGAAUUUUAACCAUGAAAUCCCAGUAAGGAAAACAUUUUUCGAUAAAUUAAUAAAAGUUCACAAAUUUGAGCAAGAUAAUCCAAUUUAACAACAAACCCAAAUCCCAAAAUUUAAUCUUGAACUGUUAAAGGCAGGCAGGUACAUACCUCAUAAGCUUCAGAAAUUUGCUUGAACUUUGCUUCAGCUUCUUUUUUGUUAUUUGGGUUCUUAUCAGGAUGCCACUUCAUGGCUAAUUUCCUAUAAGCUUUUUUCAAAUCAUCAUCUUUAGCAGUCUUAUCAACUUGUAAUAUCUUGUAGUAAUCCACUCCCAUGGUGUUACUGCUACCUCCUCUCUUUCUCUUCUUCACCUUGCUGAUCCUUGUUUUUCUAAUUCAAAAAAUAACAGAGAUUCAAUUUUUCUUUUUUCUUUUUUGGGUUUUUGAUUAUUUGAGAAACAUGUUUAAAAUAGAAACAGUGUGGUUGUUUAUAGUUUAAAACAGAACAGUGUGGUUGUGUCUGGAACACUCUACACUGUUCUAUUUUAAACUUCUUCUACUUCUAGUUUAUACUCAUUAACUCGCUACGCGCUUUUUUAAUUGAAAAACUUAAUUAUAAAAUUAAAAUAUAAUAUAUAUUGGAUAUAUUUUUUUAAAUAAUAGGAUAAUAUAUUGAAUAAUAUUUUUUUAAUAUUAAAAUGUUAAUACAUUAGAUAUUAAUAUGUUAAAUUUAUUACCCAGAUAAUAAGAUAAUUAUAAACAUAUAAAAAUUAAAUUAAAAUAAUUUAUAAAAACCUAAUCUUAAAAUUAAAAAUAAAAAUAAAAAAUAAUUUGAAUCAACUUGAAUUAUAUUUUUUUAUUUUUUGGUUAAUAGAGUUAAUUAUAACUAUAACUAUAAUUUAGUUUUUUACAGUUUAUGAAAAUUAAGUAAUUAAUAUUUAUAGUUUUAAAAAUCAUAUAUUUUUAAAUCUAUUCAUAAUAUAAAAAAAAUAGAUCAAUAAGAAAUAAAUAUUUUUUUAGAAGGAAAUAGUGUUAUAAGCAUGACUAAUAUUAAUCAAAUGACUAUUUAAAUGUUUUUCAAGCUAUAAGGAUUUGUUAAUUUUUUAUACUAUAAGUCUUGCUAGCAUUAACUUUAAUAUAUCAAGUUUUUUUCUAGACAAUCUUAAAUAAAUAGUGUUUUAAUAUAUAUUCAGACUAGUGUUUUUAUAAAAUCAUUUUCCCUUCCAUUUUUUUAUAUUUAAAUCUAAGAUGAUAGUGUGAAAAAUACUUAGAUUGUGUUUAGUUAGUGUUUUAUAUAAAAAAAAAAAACAUGUAUAAAAAAACAUAAAAAAAAUCUAGUUGAAAGGCAGAGAUAUAAAUAAUUUUAAAAUAAUUUUAUAUUAUUUUAAAACAUGAAAAAUAAAAGGAUGUGUCCAUUCUAUCAAACCAUCUCAAUCUUUAACCAAAUACACUAUCUUAUACCAUGAGCAACACUCAAAACUGCUUGUCGCUUGCUCCAUGAUUGUUGGAUGAGACCUAAUUGCCUGGUUCGUUUACAAGAUUAUAUGAAUCAGCGAUCAUACUAAUUCUAGGGCAUAUUGUUGCAUAAAGCAAGGUGGCCUGCAAAUUAACAAAUGCUAAAUGUGAUAGGCAAUUGAGUGUUGCAAUUGUGGUAGGACAAGACUCGAUUGCAGUGUAGAUUCGUAUAGUGCUUUUUUGUUUUUUUUUUGACAUGUUACUUUUUUCAUUUGAUCUUUUUGUGUUGAUCUAUUUAGCAAUUAAUCUUGAUAUUUCCUUUCUAUUUUUUUUUUUUGUUUAAGAACAUCUCGUUCUAAUUUUGAAGGAUGUAAUUUAAUUGGUCAUAUCUUAAAUUUGUUCCUAGAAAUUACUAGUUCGAAUCUCACAAACUUCAGAAUCAUUGGAGGCUUAUAUGAUCAUUAACUUCAGGGUCCAUAAAAUUAGUUGAGGUGUGCACAAGCUGACCCGAACAUCCACAUUAAUCUAAAAAAACAAAAUAUCUCGUUCUUGAGUUUGUACUUAUCAUGUGAAAAAUUUGAUAGGUUUUUUAUUUUUAAAGAGAUUUGAACCAGAGGGAUUGAAAUUGACACAGAGUGAAAAAUAAAGGUUGUAAAAGAAGGAAAAAAACAUUGCAGACGCCACAUUGUGAAGAUUUAGCUCACACGUGCCAUCAUGGCAUAACAGGUAUACCAAAAUUAUUUCAGAAACACCAUGAAAGACAACUUUUAGAGGCAGAAUGAGACCUCACGCAUCGCUCAAAUAAGGCGAGACUCUUCACAUAAUGGCACAUGUAAGCGUCAACCUUUCUUCCUCCCUUUUAUUCACUUUGGUACCUAAUUUGAUAAUACCUCUUUAAAUAAGCCAUGGAUCUCAUUUAACCCGAUCAGUUUAAUCCAUGUUUCACUAACAACUUUGCAAUUCAGACCACAAUCCACAAUCUCAUUCAAUUUAACCUCUAAUUCAAAAAUGACUAUUCAGUUAUAUUUAUCCUGAUUAACUGUUAGCGCAUUAUAAAUAUGUAUAUGACUCAUGUCACACAUUUAAUGUUUAUCCUGGUUGAUCGCGUGUUAUGUAAUAUAUCACCGCCUUACUAUUAAAAAAAAAUACCAUUAUAUUUUUAGGUUGUACCACAUUUUUCUAGGUAAUUCAAGUUGGCUUUUUACUUGCCAAAUCAACUGGCUCGCAUCAUAGCAACUUUCAUAUGUUUAAUUUAAAACCUAACCUAGGCAAGCAAUCAAAUCGAGAUUUCUCAAGAUUUGGUCUUUGGCCCAAAUUUAUUGAUAUAAUCAAUGUGUUUAACAUGACCUCCUUGUUUUUUUUAUAGAUUUUUUCAUGAUCAGUGGAGUUUAACUACCAUCGACUUAUAUGUUACAGGUUUACAUUAUUUGUUAAUAAAAAAUACCCAUGCAUUCGUUUGUUACACCUCGAAUAUGAACUCGCAGUGGAGCACAUCCAGCAGAACUAAUCCUAAUUCUAAAAAGAAUAAAUUGACUAUAAAUUUUUUUUCUAUUUGUUGAAACAAAACAUGACUAUCAAUAACCUCAAAUCAUUGUUGUAGAACCUAGAUCGGUUAUGCCAGUUGACAUGAGACUUAAACCAAUCUGGGUUAAAGAAAAAAUAGAAAAAAAACCCUGGUUAAGUUGUUCAUAAACUCAGGUUGACUGAUGUAUUGUCCAGAAUAAAGGAAAUAGUGAACAAUAGAAAAACAGUGAUAAUCUUUCCAUGUUGAAGAAAAUAUACCAUAACCAUAACCAGUUUUGAAAUUGAUUGAGGGAGCUUUGAUGAGAUAUGUUAGUUUAGAGGUGCAUUGUAUAGAACUGAUAUUGCAACAUUAUGAAGUUCCUUUGUCAUAAUCGAUCAAAAUCUUGCUUCUAGAAAGAUGCAUGGAAGCUGAGAUUACAGAUCAAUAAAAUUAUAAUUUAAAAUAAAAACUUUUCCACUCCAUCUCAUUAAUUCCAUCCUCAUAGUAAGGAUUUUUCUUGUAUAUUUGAUGUGAAGGAGCAUUUCUUUAAUUUUUCGUUAGCAUGAAAUUAAAAAAAUCGAAACAAAUAGAAAAUAAUAUGAAGUGAUCCAAAAUUUUGUUGGGGCUAAUAAAUUAUAUAAAUUUUGAGAACCACAUACACAAAUAUUUUAAAAACCUAAUCUGGCUUAGUCUUAGUGUGAUUCUAAAAAUAUUUAUAUGGUCGAUUAUGUAAUACCUAAUCAAACUUAAAAUAGGUUAAUUUUAGGAAUUACAUAAACAAAAACUUAGAAAAUUGAACUAUAUGUAUCGUAAUAAUAUUUUUUAUUUUUCAAGUUUAUUUUUGACAUCAACACAUCAAAACAAUCUAAAAUCAUAAAAAAAUAAUUUAAAAUAAAAAAAAUUCAAUAAUUUUAAAAAUUAUUUUUUAAACUAAAAAACAAACACACUCUAAAUUAAAUUGAUAGCAUAUGUUUCAAUGAGCCACGAAAACAAUAAUUUUGAAAGAAAAAAAGCCAUUAAACCCACAUUAGUAAGAUAAUGAAAUCUUGAAUUUCAAAAGCUUUUCCUACCACUAUUUAUCUAUAAAUUAUUAAAUUCCAAAGUUCGAAAUGAGCAUAAACAAGAUAACAAACCAUUAGAGGAAUUAAAAAGUUUAUUUGGGCAUUAAAAAUUCCAACAGAAGAUUAUGGAGGGAAUAUGCAAUUAGCGAAAAGAGAAAAUAGAAAUUAUCAGCAGCAGCAGCAUUAACAAGGGAUUUGAUCAAUGAACCAUGUAAGUAUCCUAACAGGAAGCUUCACAAUAUCCACUGCAAAAUUGGCCAGAGCUGCACAGCAUACACAACAUGGGCACAAGCAACUCAAUAUUGUCCUACAUUACAUCAAAAAAGAAAAAAAAAAGUGUCAAGCACACAACAAAAUGAUAGUUAUUUACUAUAAAAUAAAUAAAUAAAUAAAAACAUGAUAUUAUCAUCUGGGUUUUCUUCAAAUCAAUCUUCUUAAGUCAAAACCGCCCAGUUUUUUUAUUGAAAAAAUCAACACUGUACAUUAUACUUUUCUGGGCACCAAACAAGCACAAGGCAAUGGACAGAGUCAAGAUCAAACUAAAUCAAGAAAAAGAGAAAAAGAAAUCAAUGCCAUGAUCAAUUUUCUUGACGUAGAGCAAACUAGCAUGGUUCAUGAACAGGUAUGGAAUCAAAUUCUUGAAAUUGUAAUCAAGAAAACAAGAAGAGAAAAUGAAUGGACUCACCCAAUGAGCCAUAUUACUGUACCAACAAUGGACAAAACUAAUGCAAGCAACGCAAAGGGAAGUCCUAACAAAAACCCUAAUGGCUUGCAAUCUCCCAUUGUCUUUCUCUCUUGCUCUUGAGUUUCAAUUACAGUAGAACAGGGAGUAGUUCUAUGCGAUAUGUGUUACGAUUUUGAAGUAACUAUGAAGAGAUUCCUAGACCUAAUGAGAAGUGGAACAGGAAUAUAACUACCUUCCUGGGCGGUUUUUGUAUAUUGACUAAAUCACCCUAUGUGGAAUUGUGAUAUUUUGCCUUGGUUAUGGUUUAGGAUUUGGUUUUCAGGUCUGUAAUGUGAAGGGUAUUUUGGGCAUUGUGUUUACGGAAUCUUCAUCGUUGUUUCUUUUUGGUCACCACUCACUUUGCAAAGGCUUGGCAAGACUUGUCUAUCAUUUUCAAAUUGAAACUUGAACAAUAUUCUCCUUUCAAUCCAUGAAAAUGAAUUAUCAUCCGAGUAAGAUAAUAGGUGCAAAUAUAUUUAUAAGAAUCAAUCAACUUCGUAUAAAGCUCACGUUCCGAUCGUGAGUUAUAUAACUGAUCUAUGAAUCGACAUAUUAACUGAAAUCAUUAUCUACAAAAAAAAUAUUAUUUUAAAAAAAUAACAAUUAAAAAUUAAAUUUGAUCACAUCAAAUUUCAAAUCAGCGCAUCAUUGAAUUGAUUCAUCAAUCCUAAUAGAGUUUUAUAACUAUAGAUAUAAAAAAGAAAAUGUAAAUUCAAUCCUACCAAUUUCAGUUAAAUUUGUUGUUAUAAGAAAAAAAAUAAAAUUUUCAAUUUGCUUUUAGCUAGAUAUAACAUAAAGAAUUAAUCUUCAUAUUAGAAAGAUGAAUAUUAAGAUAUCCUAGCUUUAAAUUAUCCAAAUAAAUUAAUUACCUUAGCAAUGUCAUUAUGCCCAAGACACAUAUUACUAUUUAUUAUAAUAAAGUAAUUACUAGUUUGCCCCUUUGUGAAUUUAUCUUUAGCCUUUGCUUCAGAUGUAAGGUGGUUUUUUCACCGUGAUAUAAAUAUCUUUUAAGAAUUGAGCGAAAUUAUUUUGGUAAAUGUGUUUUGUAAUGCACAGUAAAACUAUUAAUGUCACCCUUUAAUAAAAUAAUCUAAUGUCUUCUACACAAAGAUGAUUUUAUAUUUUCAUAUUUUAUAUAACAGUUGAAUUACUACAUUACCCUUACAAUUCGAAUUUUAACCCUAUUUUUUUUUUUUUUUGCUAUUGUUUUCUUAUGCAAGUUUUUUUGUUAAUAGUUUUUUCAACGAUUUCAUCCUUCAAAAUUAAAUUAGAUGAUAUUUAAGCUUCUUAAUUCAACUCGAGUGCAUGAUUUAAGAAGUUACAAGUUUUUUAGAUUAGAUUAGGUUUAGGAGGUUCACCUAGAUUUACUUGGUUUCUUCGGCCUUUUUUUUUAUGCCGAUGUUUUUUUUUAAAAAAAGUUUGACUCUUUUUUCUGGGUUUUUUUUCAGUUAGGUUAGUAGUGAGUUAUUUGAUAAUCUAAAUAGGCUCAAAUGUGGGUUUUUUUUUGUUGUUUUUUGUCAGUUUAUUUAUUAUUGUUUUUUUCCAUGAAUAUUUAAAUUGUCAAUUUAACCAAUUACUUGAAACUUGAAUAUUUUCUAGCCUAUCACUUCUUUUGCUUUAAAUUUGUUUUUGGCCAAUUGCAACCCACGAGCAACAUGUCUAGUAAAUAAAUAAAUAAAUUAGAAAGGUUUAUGCUGGGCUUAAGUUGUUGUUCUGGACUGAGUGAGGCUCGUGGUUUUAAGAGCACCUGGGCUUGAUUAUGUACUCGAUUUCAGGUUCGUAAAGCCCGAAGCUAAGUGAUGUUUGAUGGUGGGCUUCUCUAUUUCGCUAAUGCCACGGGGCAGUAGGGGAAACAUGAUCUGACAUGUCGUUUACUUCUCUAAACCGUUUUGAGUAAAUUAUUUCCAUUAUUUCAACCAAACUUUGUUGACUUUCGUAACAAGUUAAAUCUAGUUAAAUAAACCGUCUAGGAUUUUUCUUAAAUAAAAAACAAUAUUGUUUUUGAUAAAAAAAAAUAAUAAUAAUUGGGAUGAGUUGACUCGAUAAACUAUGCAUUGAUUCAAUUUUUUUUAAAUUCAAAUCUUGGACCAGGUUGCUUGCUCAAUAAAUCAUUGUUUUUUAAAAAAUAUUUUUUUAUGGGAUAACUUAUCUAAUUUUUUUUAAUUUUUAAUAAAAAAAGGUUUGAAUUUAAAACUUUAAAAUGAAAAUUCUAACUUUUAAUCCCUGAAACAUCCCUUUCAUAAAUAAAAACCUGAAAAAAAUCAUGAAAGAAAAAAUUAUUGGAUGAGUACUUUCGAAUUUUAAUAUGCUAGCUUUUUAAAAUGUUUUUUAAUUGAAAAAGUAUCAAAAUAAUAUUUUUUUAUUUUAAAAAAAUUAUUUUUUACAUCAACGCAUCAAAAUGAUCGGAAAACACAAAAAAAAUAUUAAUUUAAAAUAAAAUAAAUAAAACUUUUUAAAAGUAAUUUUAAAACGUAAAAAUAAGUAAGAGUUUCAUCUUUCAUCUUUACAGUGACGAGUUGCACAAUCAUAAUGCAGCGAAUCCCCCAGAAUUUCUACUCGAAUUAGUUAAGGGAGAGAAUCAUUGCAUGAACAAUUCUAAAUAUUACAGAGAGGUGGCAUACGUAUCUCCCAACAAGAAGUAUGGCAUUAUGUAUAUAUAUAAAUACAUAUAAUAUACGUCUUUGUACAUGCAUACGUACGUACACAAGCAUGCAUAUAUAGACUUGGCUAAUGUCCCCACACGUAAACUCUCAAAUCCAAACAAAGCACUCUUCACCACAAAACAGAUGUUGGAUUUGAAAUAUAUAUAUUUCAGUGAAUGACAAAAAGCUCUUCUCCACACAUACCUACCUAAUAUAUAUAGAAGCCAAUUGCAUGUUCUUUAAAAUAUCAUAUCCCUAAUUUAAUUAUAGCUGACAAUGCAAAACAAUCUUCGAUGAUAUGAAUGCAUGUUUGCAGCAUUAAUUAAUUAAAUUCAUCAUGCUUUUCUUUAGCUAAUCCAUUUUCAUGGCGAGAAUCGGUUAAUCUGUGGAGCUCAAUGGACACAAAAUGAUUUCUGAUGAUCAACAAGAUUAAUGUUUAUACGCAGACCACCAUCAUCCCUUGUUUGAUUUAAUGUAUUUUCAGAUUAAACAAAAAAAAAAGAAUUGUUAAAUCAUUAUAAGGUUCACUCGAGCCUUGGUUUUUUUUCUCAGUCUUCAUUAAAUCUUGGUUUUUUUAAAAAAUUUUGUUUUUUUAAUUAAAUUAAAUUUAUUGAUUUUAUUCUCUAGUAUUUAAUUUGAGGCAAUACCUGAAAGAAUUCUGUUUUUUUAAUUAAUAUUUUUUGAAAAUUGAUAUAUAUUUUUUUAUUAUCUUUUUUUUCUAUACGGUUAUCCUGAUGUUAUGUCUUGGGUCAUAGAUUCAACAUAUUUACUAGGUUUAAUUUAAAUUUUUUUCACUGCUUUUUAAUAUUUUUUUUACCGGUAGCCAUGGAUCAAAAUCUUAAAUCUUAGAAAAAAAAACAAAUUUAUAUUUUCUUGAUAUCUUUUCUUAAAAUAAUAAUAAUAAUAUAUAAUAAGCCUGCUGCGGGCUACCUGUAUCCCGUGGAUUCCAACUAACACGUACACAGCAUGACUGAAGAGGCAAAUCCUCUUUGAAACAUAUCAAAAGUGGAUAUGUCAGAUGUCUUGUCAAUAUUCGUAAUCCAUCAUAACUGGCCACGAGGGGUACACAGAAUAGUUGCGCGACCCCAAACACCGACUCCGAAAAGAUGGCUCAACUUGCGAUUUAUCAGUUAACAGCCUGUUUCGCAGUGUGGUUGGAGGCUUUUCAAAUAAUUUUUUGACUAAAAUACAUGUUAGUGAUAUUUUUUUAUUUUUAAAAAAUUAUUUUUGACAUCAGCACAUCAAAACGAUCCAAAACGUACAAACCAUAUUAAAUUUUAACAAAAAAAAAUCAAAUUUUUUGAAAACACGGGUUGAACCGCGUUCCCAAACAUUCCCUUAGUUUUCAUUAUAAUAUCACUUUUUCUUCUUUUUUGUUUUAAAGAAAUUUAUUGAAAUUAAUUUGGCUGAGCCGAAUAAUAUCAACCGAUUUCACUUGAAUAAUAUUUUAUCCGAUCCAAAAGAAAAUCUGAGCAGGGUUGGGCUCCGAAUCCCUUUUAGAUUUUUGGAGACUGUUAAAUAAAUUACAAAUCUUACCAAUCUGAAUUCAAAUUGUUUUCACAGUGUGGUAAGAACUGAUACCACUCGACAAAAAGAUUUAAACGAAAAACAGUUAUUUUUCUUUUAUCAUUAGGGUAUCCUUUAACAGGUAUUUGUGGACCUAUGUAAUUUUUGAUAGAUUAUACGGAUGAUUUAAUAUAUAUAUUUAUAAAUCAGUGAUGGUUCAAGAGAAAAUCUGGUCGCGUCAAACCAUAAUAAUAACUUAAAAGAUGCAUUAUUUUUUAUUCGAUCAUUGGAUUAUGCUCAGAUUUUUACAAGAGUAUUUGGAGACCCUUUUCUUAUGGUAGCAACUGCAUUGAUACGUGGACCAUCAAAUAUUUAGAUAUAAAAAAUCUCGCAUAGACCCUUCGGUGUUGGCGAUUUUAGUGAUUUUCCUUCUUAUUUUUUAAUUUCUUUCUUUUUUUGAAUUUUAUACUUUUUUUUCUUUGUAAUUUCAGGUUUUUGUUUUUGUUUCCUAGUUGAAGUGGGGUUUUUAGUCUAUUUAAAGUUUUGUAAACCUCCUAAAAAAGUAAACUUCAUUGUUAUUAUUUUCAAGAGUAUAAACUUCCGGAUUUAGAGCUCAAAUCUACAUCUCCUUUCACCCAUUAAAAUAUUAUGUAUUCUUUGUUUAAUUGUUGGUUUUUAGCUUUUGUCUACUUCAAGAAAUACAUAUAAAACUAUUUUUUUUUUAUCUCACUUAAUAAACUAAUUUUUUUUAGAUUUAAAUAGGUUUUUGACACAUUUUUAUAAUUACCAUAUAAAAUAUAAGACUUUGGGUCAAUUUUGACUAUGAACCGUAGUUACAAAAUCCAAUCUAGGAGCGAAUCUGAUUUAAAAUCUGGGCUAUAUACCGAGUAGGUUGUUCCUUAUUUUUGCAUUUCAAAAGCGUAUAUUUUAAAAAAAAAAAUUAUUGUUAAAAAUUUUAAAUUAUUUUAAUAUGCUUAUAUAAAAUAUAAAUUUUAAAAAAUAAAAAAUAUUAUUUAUAUAUAUAUUUUUAAAGAAAUAAACACUUUUAAAAGUAACCAAAUGACGAACACCCUAAUUCCUAUAAAAUUCCUGAAAUGCUUUGUUGUUUUGGCAAAAGAAAAAUCAGGCUAUUUCACUUACUUGACCUAGACUAGGGCCGGGAAUUGACACUCUGGAUCAGGGCACUACUGCAAACUAGCUGCAUGGAUCAAGAAAACAAAGAUUCUUCUGAAACUGUGGUUGAUCUAUCAUAAUUACUGACUAAGGAAAACACAGGACAAUUUUAGUGGAGAUUUUGGUUGUUUUUUCGAGUUGGGGAAGGGGGGCCUCGAGCAGGACGAGGGUUUUGGAUUCUUCUAGAGAUUUUGAUAGAAAGGUAGGGGACCUCUCUUGGAGAGAGACAUGCUGAUAAAGAAAGUUAGAUUCCUAAUUACAGCGUCAUCACCAGCUACAUCAAUUAUUGUUUCUUUCUGGGACCCCCUCCUGUAACAUGUAUGUUCUUGUCUGUGAUUUCUUGCGUUUAUCAAGAAAUCAAUGUCCUUUUUGCCUGUAGGAAUACUUCUGCAGAAACAGUUUAGGGUUGUGUAUCACAGGGCAAGAUGUUUUUUAAGCAUAGUUGAGCUACCGUUUACCCUUGACAUUGGCAAGAUAGAUUCCAUGUUCAUAAUCAGACAGUUUGCUCCAUGGAUAUGGCUCCAAGUUGCUUUAAGAUUGACGAUCUUGUUACCAUUGAACAUUAAGUUUACUAGCAUGCACCUUUUGAGUAGCUAGGAAGGAAGAAAUAGGUUUUGAAUUUUGGCUCUGCUUUUCCAAGUAGCCAUUUUAUGCUCAUAUCGCGAUGAAAAACAUACUUGGUUGGAGUUGACGAUGAUAAAGUAAUUUUAUCUUCGGAAUUAUGAUUUUGAAUUAUUGAAAAUAUAAGGAGAAAAUAUUUUUUUUCAUGGAUUUACUAGUCUUGACAUGGAUGAUUUAUUUAAAAUCCAUAGCAAAGAGAAACUUAAAUCCAGUACACGAAAAAUGAUUAAAAAAAAAAAACCUUAAUUAUUGAAGAAAAAAAGAAGAGUGUUUCCAGAAGAAAUGGUCCUUGAAUUGCCAGCUAAAAUGGGUAACAAUAAAAUUAUAAUAUAAGGUAAAACCUUGUGGUAAUUAUUGAGAAUGAAGUGGUGAUAGUGACAAAUUAAUUAAUUCUUGGAGAAUGAGAGUGAAAUUACAUUGAUGUGGACAAACCAACUUUAGAGAAUAUCUUAUAAAUGUGGCCACUGAUUUUCUUCAGAUAAUUAUUUAAUGAAUUUUGCCAGCAAUUACUACUCUUUGACGGCUUCAACUUUCUGACAAAAAUAAAAUCCGACAUUAUCUAAUAUUACUAUUGGCCAUUUGUCGAAUAUCUUGUUGUUUUUUUUAACAAAAAAAACAAAUUGUCAUUUUCUUGUUAUUUUAUGCAUUAAUUUAACGAUUCAAGCCUUGUCGAGGAAUCUCCUGCUGGUUGAUGCAUGCCAUAGGGUAUUGUAAAUGUAUGUUACUUGGUAAAAAAAAAAAAAUUGACUAUGAUCCAGUUUUCGUUCUCAUAUGUUCUUAUAUAUUCAUAUUUUCAUGCUUUUAAAUUAUUUUUUGAACCAAAAUACUCCCUAGAUUAUUUAAAAAAAUAAAUUUCAAAGUAUAAAAAAAAAUUAAAAUAAUUUUUAACAACUCAACAAAACUUAAAUACCCAAAAAAAAAAUUAAUUGUUGAUGAACCCAAAUUUAAAGACUCUAAAGACUUUUAUUGGACUCAGCUAAGAAAAGGACUCAUCCUCUUUUUAGCUCGGCAAAGAAAGAACUCACCCUCCCCUUAGUUAAACCAAAUAAAGGAUACAUCCUCUCUUGAUCACAACUACAUUUUGAAUCAUAUUCUCCCUAUACUUAUUAGGUGUAUAAAAAUUUUUCAAGGACCACCAUACUUUCAUUGAUAUUAGUGUUAUGUAGGGAUAGCGUGUAAAAGACUUUUAAGAGCUCACUAUAUUUUCAUUCAUAUUAAUACAUAUGUCAGAAAUAUUUUUCAUCAUUAAUACUUAUGUUAGGGAUAUUUUUUUUCUUUAAUACUAUCAAAAUAAUAUUAUAUUUUAGCAUCUUCUCUCCAUAAAAAGACUCAUGGAUUAUAAAUAGACCAUAAGUCCUUUAAACAAAAGAUUUGGAAUCUUCAUUAUCUAUUGUAUAUUUAUUUUUAAAGUAUCUCUCUGUAAUAUUAUUAUAUUUUCUCUUAAAAAAUUAUUGAUUUAAUCAUCAGAAAGUCGUCAAAUUCAUAAAAAAAAAAUGUUUUACAAGUAUUAGGUGCUAGGUCACCUCAAAAGAUGAAUGAAAUAGAUUGUCAUAAGUAAAAAAUUGACCAAUUAGCCAAAAUAUAAACCUUACCCUUAAACAAUUUGAAUUUUUUAGGAGAUUAUCAAUUAUACACUUCCCGGAGCACCAUUUGUUAGCAUGAUCGAUCAUGUGUCUUUCUGCCAGGAUUUAUCUUCUAAUAAUUAGUUGAUUCAAUGUAAAAAAUGAGAGUAUUUUCUUUUAGAUUAUAAAUGGUGAAUUGAUACCAUUCCAAAUUAAUUGGUAUUAAAGAAUAUUGCUCAUUUCCCAUUCCAAAUUAAUUGGUUGAUCAUUGUCUUGUCAUCAGCAACCAAGACAAUUAAUUGUCUUUGAUAGAUCAUAUAUGAAGGUUCCACUAUUUAACAUUAAUGAUUCAAGCAAGAUUGAACAGAGUGCAACUAUCAGUCGUUGGUGUCUUUAAUGAACAACAACAACACUUUCUUAAAGCUGGUCCUUAUCACAACAGUGGCAGAAAAGGAUCUCGUAAAAAAAUCCAAGUAUUUUCACACGAAGAUUCCUUCAAAGAAGACACAAAUGCCUAAAAGUUUAAGUAGCAUUUAAGACAAUCCAAGUUCGAACAAUAUUCGAUAGUGUUAACUGUUAUAUAUUAACCUGUCUGGUUUGAAGAGUUAGUUAAUGAUAAAAUUAAAAUGAUAAUAUUACUUUAUUUUUAUUUUAAAAUUUUAAAAUGAUGCUAUUUUGGAUUCGUUCGGUUAACCUACUUAAUCUAUAAAACGGGUUUCAGACCGAAUCAUGAGCCAAACUGAGUUUAAUAACUUAGAUAUUGGAUAGUUUUUGUUUGCGGUUGUGUUUUAAAAGUACAUAUUAUUUGAAAAAAAACAUCAAACUAAUAUUUUUUUAGUAAUUUUUGAUGAUUUUGAUGUACUCAUGUUAAAAAUAAAAAAAUAUUUUUAUAUAUUUUCAAAUAAAAAAUACUUUUCAAAAGUACCUUGCACCACAAUAUCAAAUAUACACUAGUCAAUUGUGUUACGAACAAGAAAAAAGAUGAAAGAAAAAGGAAGAAUAACUCACUUGUCUUAUUUAACUCAAAUAAACUUAUAUAUAAGCCACAAAAUUUUCAGGAGUGAGAUAUUUAUGUAUUCAUAUGAGAUGGAUUCAAAUAGAAAGGUGUGAACAACAAUUUUGAGAACCAUCAAUAGAUGUAACAAAAUUUACAUUCAUCUAAAUGGUCCACAAUAUAUAUAUAUAUAUAUAUAUAUAUAUAUAUAUAUAUAUAUGACAAGGAAAGGGAAUAUAUCAAGCACAAAGUAUAAUGAUGCUGCUAUUUUUCAACGAGAAAUUAAUUAUUAGGUAAACUUAAUGCACUAUAUAUCCCUUAUUCAUAAAUUAAAUUAAUAAAUAAAAGUCAUGUAAAUAAAAUUACAUGAACUUUAAAUAUCAUGAAAUGAUAGAUUUAGUUUAUCUAAUAAUUAAUUUCUCGCAAUCCAUAGAGUUACUCAUAAAUCUAUCUAUUUAUAAUAACAAAAUGGACGCAAUUUUUAGGGAAUUUCGCUGUUUUGACACAUAAUUCCAUAUAUUUAAGUUCUAUAUAUCCACUAAUUACUUUAUCAUGGAUCCCAUAGAUUAUUUAUAACCUUAUUAAUUAUAAUUCUCAAUUAAACUCUUUACUAAUAAAAUUAUGAAAUCAUAUAAUAUAAUCUAUAAUAUUAAUUUUUGUAAAAAGAAAAUGAUAACAAUUAAGAGUUUAAAAACUAUAUAUGUAAUUAUAAUGAGACUUUGUAUAAAGAACUUUUCAUACUUUCACUGCAUUGUCAAAGAUUCUUAAAUGUAUUCCAUAUUGGAAUUUCUUAUUGCUUGAUGCCGAUCGAUGGAGGCAUAUUCUUAUUGGGUUCUUGCUGUUGUAGCUUCACGGGUAGUGACUGGACACAAGGAAGAGGCCGAAGACCUUUGUGAAGUAAAAAAUUAAUGCUACGAUCUUAUCCAGUUUAUAACAUGACCCACGACGUAGACUAUUCAUGAGAAUUUUGUUAGGGUUUAUUAAUACAAUUUAUUUCCUAGCUAGGCCAUCAAAUUAUUGCAAUUCAUUAAUUUGAUUCAAGGAACGAGGCAUAUCUCCAUAUAUGUGGUUAUUAUUGUAAGAGAAUAAAUUUAUUUGAUGUUUUUAUCUUUGUUUUUCUAACCACACACAUUUAUAUUUUUCUAUAUUCAUCUAAUUUUUUUUUAUAAUAAUCAAGCAUAUUAAUUAAAAGAUAGUCAUUCAAAAGAUGAUCCUUGAAAAAUUAAAUGCUUAUUUACAAAAAAAAUAAACAUAUAAUAAGAAUAAAUAACUAAAUUGAUGACACGUGUUUGUUUACAUCCGAAUAUCAUCUGCAGUACUAUAAAUGAAGUCGUCGUUACUAUUAUAGUUGAAAUUAGAUUUAUUAUAUUUUAGUCAAAUUAAUAGUUUAUGCAAAAACAAAGAGAAAUUUGAAUCCCAAUCCAAUUAUACCCUGUUAAAAAACAUAUUAUUUUAUAUGAGCCAGACACUUUAUAUUAUAUAAAAUGAAAGACCAUGUUAAAAAACAUAUCAUUUUAUGUUGGCUCUUGAUUUCUCGUGGUUCAACACAUUUUAUAGAACAUUUGGCACCAUCCACCAAUAUUGAUUGCUCACCAUAAACUAUAUGCUCCACCAAAAGCACCAUGUGAUGGAUAAUGACACCUAGCUGUCCUCUCCUUGUAAUCCCCCAAAGAACAAAAAAGAAAAAGAAAAAGAAAAAACAGUUUAGGAACUUGUAUUUAAUGCAUUUGCCCUAGAUAUAUUAGGUUCAUAAAUGUUCUUAAAAUGAUUUUUUAUUUAAUAACUUAGAUACUUGGUGGUUUUUGGGUUGUUGUGAUGUGAUGGGGAACUUGAGAAUGUGAUAUUUUCUGCUUUUAAAUGGGUUUAGAAAUGUGUUUCGUUUAAAAAAUAUUAAAUUAAUUUUUUAAUGUUUUUUAUAGUUUUAAUAUAUUAAUGUUAAAAAUUAAAAAAAAACUUAAAAAAAUAUUUUAAUUUAUUUUUAAAAAGUAUCGUAGAUCAUGUUAACAAACACGUUGAGUUGAAUUAAAUCUAUUUCUCUAAUGCAAGAGGCAAUUAUCUUCCUUAAUUUACUUUUUUUUUCGAAAGAGCCCUUGAUAGGUUUAGGAGUUGGAAUUUGACCCUUCCUUUUCGCUCAUCCCCUCGUGUAUUUAUUAAAACAAGCUAGCCCAUCAAUGCCCGAUAUAUAUAUAUAUCGGGUAUAAGUUUUGUGGAAUAAUUAAUUUGCACAUGAAAUUCUGGUUUAAAAUCAGACUAAUUUUGUGUUUAUUUCAUUCAACUUCCAAUCUAAACAUUAUUAUUUUGUGUAGUUAUACCAAACAUGAUUAUAAAACGCAGGUUGACUCAUGACUGAUGCAGAUAAAAAAUAAAGAUAACAAUUAAACAAAGAAUAUAUAAAAAAUUUUACGGGCGAAAAGUGUUGUGUGCAGAUGUAAGCCUUAAAUUCACAAGUUUAUUCAACCUAAAUAAUAAUAAUAAUGAAGUUAGUCAUCUGAGAAGAUUUACAAAGCUUUAAAUAGGUUAGAAACCAUAUCUCAACUAGAAAACAAAAAAAUUUAAAAUUACAAAGGAAAGAAGCAUAAAAUCUAAAAAUAACAAAGAAAAUCACAAAAACUAUCAAAACCAGGGGGCUCUCGGUGAGUUUUUUUAUAUUUAAAUAUUUAUCGAUCUGUGUAGCAACAUGGUGGUUACAAUAAGAAAAACACCCUCUGGAUACUCCUAUAACAUUCGAGCACGAUCUAAUAGUCAAAUAAAAAAUCAUUGCUUUUUUGAAUUAUUAUUUUAUUUUGGUGCGACCAGAUCUCUUCUUGGACCUAAAUAUGUCUCACUAAUCCAUGUGUAUAUAUAUAUAUAUAUUGUCUUUUUUUUUUUAAUUUAAAUUUGAGGAUGAUACUUAAGUUUCUUUGAAUACAUCUUACCGAUAUAAAAUGAUGUGUAUUUAAAAUAACUUAAAAAUAAUUAACAUAUAAAUUUAUAUUUGAGAAUACUUUUUAUUAUUAAAAAAAAAGAAGAAGAAAAAAAGAGGGUAAGAAUUCAAUGAUACGAUUAUAUGUAUAAAGGUUGGUCAAGGCAUCCAAAGAGCCACUAGGUGAAAACGAUUUAACUUCCAUUAUAGGAAAGGACGAGAAGACCCAGACUUGGUAGAAAGUGAUAUGCCCGUCCUAAAUUAAAACUUGACCUGCAUUAAUUUCAAGGGACAGAAUGAAUAUUUUAAUAUAUUCCUUGAUUAUAUAUAAAAAAAAAACCUUCAAAUUGAAUUUUAAAUUUGAAUAAUAUAUUUUUCUAAAUUUAAUGUCCAAUUUAGAUUUUGAAUUAUAUGAUGAGAAUAUAUAGUACUCCUUGAUUAUAUAAUUAUAGCUAAAAAUUAUUAUUAUUAAGAUUCGAAUCUUUCUAUAAAAUACAUGAAAUUUUUUAUGGUAUUUAAAGAGUAAUUAAUAGUAUUUUAUUAGUUAUUUAUUAAUUAUUUAUAUAUAUAUAUAUAUAUAUAUAUAUAUAUAUAUAAUUCUACGUAAAAAUAUUUUUAUAACUUUUAACGAAUUAUAAAUUUUGUUUUCUCUUUUCUAUUUAUUUCUUCUUUACAAGGGCAGCAGUCCACAGGAAAUGCUCCAUUAGUGUUUGCCAAAUCUGUCUGCAGGUGCUGAAAGAACAUGUAAGUGCCCCUAUCCAAUGAUAAUACCCUAUGAGGCUGCAGUCUUUUCCUAAUCCCAUACAUCCCUAUCCUUUUCACUGCACCAAAAGGCAUACAGUACCUCUACUUGCUAAUUACAAAUAAAACUAAAAUGCAUGGAUUAUACACAGUGAAAUUCAUAGUAAAAUGAUCGAUAUUUUCCUUAAAGCACUAAAUGGUUGAACAAAUAUUCAGAGAUAAUUUUGUAUUUUCAUAUAUUUAUUAUAUAGUAUAAUUACUCCUAUAUCCUUGAAAAAAGAAAAACGCAACUAGUCUGAGCGAGGGUUUUUUGUUUUUUAAUUUCACAUUUUUUGUAUAGUCUAAUUACUCUCCCUUGAAGUCAACUUUUUUUUUGCCUGGUAAAGGGUAUUUUUAGUUUUUUUCCUCUAGAGUUAUCCUUGAUCGCUAAUUAAUUAAAUUCGAAUUAUCAUGAUUUAUAAUUUGAAUAUUUUUUUAUAUUAAAAAAUUCUAGUAAUUCUUAUAACCCAUGUUGCAAUCAAUAUUGUUACACCCUCUCCCUCCCUCCCUCCCUCCCUCCCUUCCUCCCAAGACAUUCAUAAAGCUAGCUCACGAGCACUUUACAGAUUUUCAAGUCUUCAGAAAAAUGACAUCCACAAACCCAAAUAUAUAUAUAUAUAUAUAUAUAUAUAUAUAUAUAUAUAUAUAUAUAUAUAUAUAUGUUAUUAUGCUAGCAUGCUCAAACAAACAACGACAUAAAAACAAACGAUUGUCCAGAGAUCUCAGCACAAGUUGUGGUUUAGAUCCAAUCUCUCCACUUACACUGAAAGAAAGGGCAACAAAUACCACAUUAACACAUCAAAUACUAUACUCAUUGUCUCCCUCCUCUUCAUCAUCAAAUACUACUCAUUGUCUCCCUCCUCUUCAUCUCCCUCCAAGUCACCGGAAAAACAAAGAAAAUCGAUCCCACUUCUGAUCCUAUCAAUAUUUUCUAUCGCAACUCUCCUCUAAUUCUUUUUUCCAUGCAAUAAAUAUAAGUCUAUGUGCGUAUAGUUGCACCAUAUCUAUGGUAUAUCUUGGUAUAUAUUUGAUAUAAUAUCUAUAUAUAUAGUGUGUGCGAGCUUCUUUAAUUUGGGGUCCUUUCUGAGUUCUUUUUAGUUGGAAUUAAUGCUAGCUGUAUCACCCUUGAGAAACACACCAGCCACGAAGGAUGAGAGCCAAGAACAAAUGGAGAGUUAUUCUACCAUUUUCAAUGGAGAGUUCCCUGACUUCUCCGAAGGGAGCUUGCUCGAAAGUAUCGAUUUCGAUGAUCUUUUUGUUAGUAUUGAUGAUGAAGAUGUGUUACCAAAUUUGGAGAUGGAUCCUGAAAUCCUUGCGGAAUUCUCUGUUAGUGGUAGCGGAGGUGAGGAAUCGGAUGUAAACACAUCGGUAUCAAAUGCGAAAGUGGAGGAUAGCAUUCAUAGAAAAGAUGAGGAAGAUAAGUUUUCAGGUUUGGACUCGAGUUUGAGCACUAGAGGAGAGGAGAUAGUGAGUAAGAGAGACGAGUCCGUAGUUGUUAAUCCGGUGCCUAACAAAGAUGGUGAGAAGGGAAGAAAACCAGCAGCUCAUGCCAAGAACAACAAUAAUCAAGGGAAGAGGAAAGUGAAGGUAAAUUGGUUGAAGCUUUUAUUUAAUUGAUCAGGUUUUUUUUUUUUUUUUUUUGCAGUCUUAUGUCUCUUCGAUUCGUUGAAGAUAAACAAAAAAUAAUUAAACACUAGAUUUUGUUUGUUCAUAAGUACUUCAUGCAUGUGCUAAUUAAAUACUAAAUAUAUAUCUCUCUCAAUCAAUAUGGGGCUACUCAGCAAACUUCAUCAGGCCAAAGUGGUCACGAGAAUCAUGGGAAACUGAAUUAUCCAUAAGAUCAGAAGAGCUCUCAUAUAUUUUUUGUUUUUUUUUCUUCUUUUUAUAGUAUGAUAAUGAAGAGAGAGUAAUUUUCUUGAACUGUGUGUAGGUGGAUUGGACACCAGAGCUGCACAGGAGGUUCGUGCAAGCAGUGGAGCAGCUAGGGGUGGAUAAGGCAGUGCCUUCGAGGAUUUUAGAACUCAUGGGAAUUGACUGUCUCACUCGCCAUAAUAUUGCUAGCCAUCUUCAAGUACAUAUACUGAAAACUUCCUUCUGCUAUUAGUAUUUUUUCUUCGUUUUGCUCAUGCUUAUGCCUAUAUUUCAUUUCAACAGCCAGCAAAUUUUGACUUCCUGGCUUUACUCUAUUCGAGAUGCGUUUUCUUUCAAAAUAAGAAAUGUUCAAUCACAAACAAGCCAAUAGAGAAUUUGUUUGCUUCAAUCACUUUAUAAUUACUUUGAUUUUGCAUAAUUUGGUUUAGCAUAUAGUCCUUUUUAUAGCAAAGGAAAUGGGCUUGAAUUGAAACUAAAAUAUUUAACAAAUGUAUUAAAAGUUGUUUUGGAGUUAUUCUUUAUUGUAUGGGAUGGUUAAUUUUGAUAUAUACGAUUGAAGGAAUUUGAUGAAUUAAUUUAUGUAGAAAUAUCGAUCACACCGGAAACAUUUGCUAGCGCGCGAGGCUGAGGCAGCAAACUGGAGCCAAAGACGGCAAAUGUAUGGAGCCGCGGCAGCCAGUGGAGGUGGCAAGAGAGACAUUAGCGCAUGGCAUGCACUCACCAUGGGGUUCCCUCCCAUAACUCACCCCAUGCACCACCACUUUAGACCGUUACAUGUAUGGGGACAUCCUUCCAUGGGCCAAUCCCCAAUGCAUAUGUGGCCUAAACAUCUAGCUCAUUCACCUUCACCUUCACCGCCUCGGCCGCUGCCGCCACCACCUACAUGGCACCCACCACCACCACCACCACCAGAUCCUUCGUAUUGGCACCACCACCCUCACCAAAGGGUAAGCCCUAAUUAUUCCCUUCUUCUUUCAAUUCAAUCAAUCAAGAGAAAAAAAAGAAAGGAAAAGUAAUUGGAUAGCCUUCUUUGUAAUCUGGCCAUAUCAUUUUUUUGAGCAGGUUCCGAAUGGACUAACCCCAGGGACACCUUGCUUUCCACAGCCACUGGCAACUGUAAGCAAUCAUUCCAACUCUUUUGGAGUCUUUAAAUCUGUUUGUAUCUUCAGCUUUGGAUUCAUAUACAACACGGGCAUAUGUUGCAAUUAAUAGGUGUGUAUAAAAAGCUUACUUAUGGAUAUACUCCAUAUCUAUUGCAGAGAUUUCCUGCACCACCUGUCCCCGGCAUCCCGCCCCAUGCCAUGUACAAAGUAGACCCCGGCAUCGGCCUCCUAACCGGACAGCCAGGCCCCAGCCCUCUCUUUGACUUUCAUCCGGUGAGUACUACUCUCCCUCUUCUUCUCAGCAUAUAUAUAUAAAAACAUGAUAAUCAACCUGUUUAUCUAAAUAUAUAUUCAUGGCGACAUGUUUUGCAACAGUCAAAAGAGAGUGUAGACGCAGUUAUUGGAGAUGUUUUAUCAAAGCCAUGGCUGCCACUUCCUCUGGGACUUAAAGCUCCAGCUACUGAUAGUGUGCUGGUGGAGCUGCAAAAGCAAGGAGUUCCGAAGAUACCACCAACUCGUGCUUGAACCCUAGCUAGAGAACAAUAUCCUUCCUAUGGCAGCUAGCUUGUUGAUAACCCGCCUUCUAGCUAGACCACCAAAAAAUAGCCCUAAAUUCGACGACAUUUCCUGCAUUAGAUGUGCACCUACAUCUCAUGAUCGAGUUCUUCUUCUUAAUUUUUCCCCUCCCUUCUUUCGUCCUUCACUAAGUUAAACUGAGUGUUGCUUCUUGUCUUGUUCUAGCAAGGCCAAGCCUUGUUCAUUAAUUAACUCGAGCACAUCCUUGCUAAAGUUUUCCAUUGAACUUACUCUUGACAACUAUAUCUAUCAUCUCGAAACAAAAAUAAAUAAAAAUAAUUGAAACAAAAUAGACAUGUUCCUUGUUCUUUUUAUUUUAAAAUAAUAAAAAUUUAUUGUAAAACUAUCACGAAAAUAAAUUCAUUUUAUAUCCUUGUCUCUAUUUUGCGAUAAAAAAAUUCAAUAGUUGCAAAUAAAUUCCAAAUCUUUCUGUUGUGUUCUGCAUCUUUUGGGUCUCUCAUCUAUAUAUUGGAUGUUAAUUACCCAACUAAUCUUAUAAAAAAAAAUUACCUUUAAAAUCAUAGAGAGAUGAGGCCCUAUUUAUCUUAAAACGACUUUGUGUUUAUCAUAAAUCUUUUUUGUAAUGUGUUUUCUAUAAGGCCAAAUGCGAUUUAAUAACAACAAAGUGAACAAUAAAUCCAUUUUUAGAGAAGAGAACAAAAUCUGAAUAAAUACAAAAAAAAAUUAACUUUUGCUUGCUAAAAUCAGGGAAAAUGUAAAAAAAUAAUAAAAAAAACAACAUAAAAAUGUAUCCCGGCAAUGGCAAUAUAUAUAUAUAUAUAUAUAUAUAUAUAUAUAUAUAUUACUAAAUUUUAAAAAUUAAAAAGCAAAUAACUAAAUUUAGCACGUCGCAAUAUAAUAUAAUAUAUAUUAAUAAAAAAAACAUCAUAACACAACGCAUUACAACUCAAAAAUAAGUUAUAGCUAACAAAUGAAUAAAUUUCUUUCUCCAUUUUAAUGCCAUAUAUUUAUGGGUUUAAUGCUAUUUUACUAGUAAAAAAAGAAGAACAGAUUAUAGUAUAUCAAGAACUUGGGAGGAUCCUCCUAUCCAAUAACUCAUGACUCUUUAUAAUUUCUUCUUGUAUUUUUUUUUAUCAAAUUAAUUAUAACUCAUACUUAUUUUAAGUGGUAAAACAAAAGGUUGUUAAAUAUAGCUAGACCCAAGUUGAUUUACGAAUUAUAUGAGUUAAAGUUAACAUGGAAUAAUCAAAAUAAUAUUAUUUUAAUUUAAAAUAAAAUAAAAUAAUAUUAUUUUAAAUUUUAUUUUUAUUAUUUAUCUAAUUAUUUUGAUUUGGCUGAAUAAUCACGUUUACCUAUCAAACUUUACCAGUUUUAAUAACGUCGUGCGAAGUACUAUUUUAUUUAUUUAUUAUGUACAUUAACAAUUUAUUUUGAAUAAAAUUCGAAUUUCCUUACGAUAAAUAUUUAAGCGGUGAGGUUGACGCGAGCGCAUUGCCGCGUAGAGGAAUUCGUUAGAAAACGAAAGCGGUGAGGUUGACGCGAGCGCAUUAAACUUUUGCGGUCCCGUUCGUAUCGAGACAAACAGAGUCAGCAACUAAUCGCCACUAGCCACGUAUGGACCACACACGGCCGACACGUGGUACUUACAGAAGACAUGGACAAAUUUUGAUUCUCUGUUUCAUGGCCCACUGUAUAAAGAUAAUAUCAAUAAUUUAAAUUUGAACACGCAUUACAAGGGGGGCCCAAAAAUAAGAGUAUUUUAAACUAUUUAUUUAGUCCCUGAAUUUUUCGAAGUUUUACAAUUAGCUUCCAUAUUUUAAACUUCCUCAUACAAUUGCUUCCCAGGAGUUUCAUGUAUAAUUAACAUAUAUGAUUUAUUAAAUUUAAUUCAGCCAUAUAUUUAUGAAAUGAAACAAUCAAUAUAAUGCCAAUUAUAAGUGGCAGUAGAAAAAAAUUAUAUAGCGUGGUAAUACGAUUUAUAAUAAAAUAUAGUAUUUUUUUUUAAUUAUAAAAUGGAACAAUUUACUGAACCAAUCAUAAAGAUAUUAUUAGAGUAGUUUUUGCAAAUCAAGAGUAAACCUAUUUCAAAUUGGAUCUUAGAAAGGAUAUUUACAUCAAAUUGCACAAAUUUAAACAAUGUAGACCAAAGUAUAAUAUUAUUAAAUAUAUAGGAGCUAAUAAAAAGUCACAUGAGAGCCGCACGGUGGUGCUCUGACACUAAUCAGAGGCAGAGAAGCCCACCGUUGAAGAGGAAGGUGACAUGGCAUGUAAAUCCCACGUAAAAGCACCAGAACAUGGCUUUUAAAUAUCGUGUGUGAUAUGAUGUUGAUCGGACUAACUGGAGACGACUAAACAAGACAUGACUUGAUAAAUAACUAUUCUGAGUUUGCUGUCUCUGGAUAGAUUAGAUUGGAUUGGAUUAUUUGCUUUUUUUGUAAUUAGUACACACUGUAUGGAAGUUGACUGAUAUAAAAUCUGGAUGGUUGGGUUUUAAAAAAAUGUAAAAGAAGGAUUUGAUUUUUUUAAUAUAUUUUUUUUUUGUGGUUAAAAUAAAAUUGUUUUAGUUUUUUUAUUUGAGUAAAUUCAAGAUGAAUUUUUUUAUUCUUGAUUCGGGUCUUAUAGCCUGUUUGGAAGUGUAGUUGAAAUUGUUUUUCAAAGUGUUUUUCGUGCUGAAAUGCAUUAAGAUGAUAUUUUUUCAUUUUUAAAAAAUCAUUUUUAAGAUCAGCGCAUCAAAACGAUUCAAAACACAAAAAAAUUAAUUUUUAGCAAAAAUAAAUUGAAUUUUUUGGGAACGCGGUUUGCACCGCGUUCCCAAACGGUGCCUUAAGGUCGAUCCUUGAUUUUAAAUUUUAAAAUUAUGAUAAUAAUUAUUUUUAUUUUUAUGUUGUUUUGGGUCAACUUAGAUUUACCAUCCCAACUCAUGACAUGGAUCUUGUCCGGGGUUAAUGGUUAGCCCGACCUAUGACCUGGGCAUGGCCCUAGACUAAUUCCCGAGUAAGGUAUUAAAACUAUGAUAAUAAUUAUUUUUAUGCUUGUGUUGACAGCGUCAAUGAUAAACCCGACUAGUGACCUGGGCCUUUCCCCAAGUUAUUUUCUUUUAGGUUUUAAAACUAUGAUAAUAAUUAUUUUUAUUUUUAAAUUGAUUCAAAUCAAUUAGAUUAACCUGUGUGCAUAAAAUUAAACAAACUUGUUUUAUUUUUAUUUUUUUUUUGAAUGAGACACAAAUUUCUUCACUAAAAUAAUCUUAAAAGUAACCAAAAAAAAAAUAAUUUUUAUACUGUUUAAAAAUACACUGAACAGCUUCACAAAAACAAUUAUCAUCAAUUAUUUUCUAGCAUAGCAAACACUACCUGAACAUCAUGUCGUCUUUCAACUCACAAAGCUGGAGAAAUUGUGGAGUUGAUUGGGUCUCCCACCCUGCCCUAUAAUCAAUCAAUCUAAUGAGAAUAAGACAUGAAAAUAGGUAUGAAAUUGAAAUGGUUUUAUUGUGAUUAUUGUAAUGAAAAAGGUUUGCUCAAUUUUUUAAUUUAUUGAGUUUAAAUCAUAAAAUCAGUUCUUGAAUAUAUUAAAUUAAUAUAAGUAAUACGUUUUUAAAAUUAUUAUUAUUAUUAUUAUUAUUAUUAUUAUUUGUUUUACAAUUAGGUGAAAUAAUGUUCUCAAGUUAAAUUUCAUGUAUUAAAAUUGAUGAAUUUAUUGCAGUAUUGUCAAAAAAAUAAACCAGUAAUAUAAAAAAACAAGAAUGUUAUUUCUUAGUUUUUAGAGACUUGAUAAAUUAUGUUUUACAAGAGAAAAAAACAUGCCUGAAUUCCUCACAUAUAUGGAAGAAAGAAAAAAAACCAAUAUGGUUCUAUCAUUUAAUGGGCGUGACUUUUCAUACAUUGUAUUAUGAGCAUGAAUUCCUAGUUGAUUGACCAAUAUUAUUCUAAUUCAUUUAUUUAAAUAUAUAUGUUUGAGUUUUUUUUUAUGAUAUAUGAUCUAAAAAAUGUAGUAUUUGAUUAAAAAUAAUUUUAUUCAGUAUUUGAAGUUAUUCAAAUUAAUCUAUUCAUGUACAUUGCAAUUUUUAUUAUUUUAUGAAAUAUUUGAAUUUGGAGAGUACUCUCAAUCCACUCAAACACACACACACAUAUAAUAAAUGUUUCUUAAAUAAUAAUACAGUUAAAAUAAUUAUGUAAGAUAUCAAUUUAAAUAACAAUGAUUUAUAAUCAAGCGGGACAUAUAUAUAAUUGGUUAUACAACAAACUUCACCAUACAAGAUAAGAAAAAUAACUAAUAAAUAAUAAUUCAGGUUAGAAAGUAAGCACUAAAAUAUAAAAAAAAUAAUGGUGCGUCAAAGUAACUAAUUACAUCAUAUUAAUUACUCUCUCUUAAAUCUUUUUUUAAAAAAGAAAUAGAGACAUGGAUAAGAAGGAAAAUCAAAUACAAUAUACAUAAAAAAUAAUAAAAAUAUCUUCAUUCACGCGUCUUCUUUUAUCCUUGUAUCUAUAUUUAAAAAAAAAAUUAACUUUAAAAAAUAGCUAACAAAAUAUCACUAAUUACAAUAUAAAAAAUAUAUCUCAAUUUGCAAGCAUGCCUUUAAGGUAGUGUUUAAUAUUAUGGUAGCAGUUAUUUUUUAAAGUGCUUUUUAAUUGGAAAUGCAUCAAAGUAAUUUUUUUAAAAUUUUAUUUUUGAUAUUAGCACAUUAAAAUGAUCCAAAAAUAAACAAAACAAAUUGACUUGAAGCAAUUUUUUUUAAAAAAAGCACGGGGCCACAACAAAAACAAACAUGGUCCAAGUACGUGUUUGGAAAUACAGUGUAAGGUGUCUUUUGAAAGUGUUUUUCUAUUGAAAAUAUAUCAAAAUAAUAUAUAUUUUUAUUAUUGAAAAGCACCUUAAAAGCAUUAAUUGAAUUUUCUUUUCAAAUGAGCAUUUUGAAAAGUUGAAGCAACCAAAUUUAAAAAAAAAAAAGAGCACUAAAAUGGGCUCAUUGUCAAAGGAAACUUCUUCUAUCUAUGUGAAAGACUAAAAGGAACCCAUUUCAUUUUGAGACUUUUCCAUAUCUUGUUCUUGUCUCACCAUGCUACUUUACUUAUCCAGAAUAUAUUAAUCUAUAUAUACACACACGUUCCAUGAAAUUUCCCUUAGAACCCACCUCAAAAAACUUACAAUGCUUCUUUUGUGUCGAAAACUUUAAGACAAUAAACCAAAUUCAUACACCUUUUAAUACAGUUUCAAGCUGUUCUCAAGAAAAAAAAUGAUUUAGAUCUAUUACCUAACAAAUAUAUAUGGAUUAACUGAUUUAUUAGUAUGGUAUGAACACAUCAAAACAAUUCAAAAAAAAAUAGCGAUGUAAAGACAGAGAGAGAGCAUGCGUAAAGGGAAAGGUUAUAUCAAUUUGUAGGAAUGCCUUGAAAAGGGCCCUUUGCCUGAAGAAACUUCUUGGUGAGGUGAUUUAGAAGAAGCCCAUUUGUUUUUUCCGAGACAUCUUCCAUGUCUUCUUCUACUGAUCCAGCAUUCUGUACAUCAGCCAUGAAAUUUCCCUCGGAACCCAGUCCAUGCUUCUCCCUUACCCUUCUUCUCUCUUCCUUCAAUUAACACAAAAAUGCAAAACCAUGGUGUAAUUAACCCCAGUCUGCCAGCCAUGUGAGUUAAUUUUAGAAUUUUAAUAAUUCAUGACUCGAAUUCUAACUUAAUUUGAGUUUCAAGUUGGAGUUGAUUCCAUAAAUCUAACAUAGCUAACUUUAAUAUUUUUUUUAAAAAAACAAAAUUACACUUUUUUAAUAAAAAAAAGAAGAAAAAAUUCAAUUAAACUGGUGAUUUAAAUUAACGUUGAUAUCUAAGUCAGUUUGUGUGCACCUCAACUAAUCUAACGAGUCUUAAAAUUAACAAUCAUGUAACUUUUAUGUGGCUCUAAGUCCUAAAUUCUAAAUAUUUAAUUAUAUGCAAAGCUUAUGCUCUCUUAAUUUGUAGAGCAAACUAUAGUCAAUUUAUUCUUUCAACAACCAAAAAAAAAAAAAGAGACAGAAUGGUCGGAAAGUCUAAAUCUGAGCUCCGAUCAUCACGCAAAUUGGCCUCAUGAUUUUCUUUACAUUACUUAAGACAUCGUCAAAGAUAACGGUCAAACAUGUCUCUAACUAAUCACUAAUUAUAUUUGGUCACGUGGGCCACAAGAACCUGUUUAGAUAUUUAAUACCAUCUUAUGGACUUGUGUGCUUUUCACUCUUUCAAAAGGUUCAUAAUAUUUUGAUUCUUUAUUUUAUAUUUUAAAAUACAACAAAACCUAAAGCUGUCGUGAAGUCUACUUUACUUUAUUUUAUAUUUUAAAGGGUGGUUUAUAUGUAAUUUUUUACCCUAACUUCGUAUGUAAUACAGUAGUAUUCCUUCUAGCAAUGCAAGCUAAAACAAACAAGAUUUGACAAUCUCAUUAGAUUAUAAUGAUUUCGAUAUAUAUUGUGCUGCUACAUCCAUGAAAAUCGACCCUACUAUGAAGAUGUUACUCAUUUAAUAAUUUUUAUAAAACCUGAUUAGCUAUUUUUUUUUUAUUAAUAUAGGUAUUCAGAUUAGUUUUCAUGUACCUCGACUAAUCUUAUGAGUUCUGAAGUUAACGAUUAUGUAAGCCUCCAAUAACAUUGAGAAGACUCAAACUCAUAAUCAUUGAGAAAAAAAUUCAAGACCUGACCAAUUAAACUACUCCUCAGGAUUAACAAGUUAAUUUAGUGAUUCGUUAACUAAGAAUUUAGCCUCAACAAAUAAUUUGUUUAAGCAUCGAGCAAGACUUUGUUUAAUUUUUAAACUAAAAAAAAAUAACAUUAUUUCAACUUAAAAAGAAAAAUAUUAAAAUGACCCAUCAUCAAUAUCAUCGUGGUUUGUAUUGAGAAAAAUUUAUAAAACAUGGGUUUUAUACCUAUUUAAACCAAGUCUUUUCAUAUCACUUUUGAGCUAAAUUUUGCGUAUUUUUUUUAAUCAAUGUAUUCAUGAUUUUUCUUCUCUCUCAACAUUUUCCUAGAUUGAAGAUCUGAAUAAUAACGUGUGAAAAGUAAUUAUUCAAUUAACAUAUAAUCAUAAUCCGGAAAGUAGAUGGGUUUGGGUUUGGGUUUCUUGAGGUGUUAGGGACCAAUCAUAAAUGGUAUUCAUGAGAAUUUAAAGAUUCAACUCUCCAUCUUCCAUUUUAAUGAACAAUUACCUGAACUCGCAAUUCAAGUUAUCGAUACCCUUCGCAUUUACUUUACUUUAACAUCAAUAAAUAGAUACAUUUUGCUUUAACUAUUCAGCUUGGAUCAAAUUAUUAGAAAAAGACUUGGCAUGUGUAUCAAGACAAGAAUUGAGUUACGAGUUUAGUGGUUAACUCGUAUCUUUUUAAAAUAAUGUUGUUUUAAGAUUAUUUUUUAAAAAAAAUUAAAACGAUAUAGUUCUAAAAAAUAUUAAAUCGAGUUUUGAUCAGGUCGAUUGAACAGGUUAACUCACUGAAUUAUCUCUUGCCUAGUUUAAUUUAAAACCUCAAUUUGGCCCAGAUUAUUAGUUUCAAGUUGACCGAACAUGUUAAACCAGGUCUAAUUAAAGAAAAAGAUGAAAUGUUUUGGCAAUAAAAGCCCUUCUUGAAUCCCAAUAUUACCUCCAUAUCCAGAGCAAAACUGUCAAAGCAAUAUCUCUCAGGAACUUUGAAAAAAGGAGAGAAAGAAUUACUAUCUUCACGAAGCCAUAAAGUGCCAAGACUCCUAGUUAGAGAAGGAAGACCAAACCAUAGUAACAGUAAUAAUGAAAUGUGCCCUACCACCCCUCGUUAGUUCCUCACUUUUCUAGACGAACCCUAACUAAUUCAACCGCCAAGGAGUGAUUGAGGACCCCAAAUUCAAUUCCACAUUGCCCUUCCAUGAAAGCAAAAGAGAGUGUCUUAUUUUCUUCGUUAGCUAGAAAAGCAAAUAGGCCCUUUUUGACUAGGAACUGCAUGUCUUUUUUUUUUUUUCCUGCUGGAGAUUUGGUGCCCUCUUUUGCUAGACAGUCUCAAUGAAGGCACAUGCAGCAGGCACUGUGUGCCAUGAUUUUCUACCCCACAAUUUUCCCUUUCCUCAAUCCACGCAUAAUUGCCCGGCCUACUAAGGGAUCCAAUACUCAAUAGUCUAUAAAAGACUAAGGGAAAUGAAACUUCAACAUACCACCAAGAACCUAAAAAAUUUCUUCAUCUCUAUCUUUAGUCCUUAGGUCAUUUCUCUAAUGGCUUCUUCGGGUAAGCAUCUAUUUUUCUUCUGUUUGCUAGUGACGUUUUCCUCUAUCCAGGCUAGAGAGAGCAUGUUCUUUAGCAAGUUCACGAGACACUAUAGCAUCACAAAAGAGAAUGGUAAGAAAGGGCCCAUCACCAUUUUGACAGUACCAAUUCAAGCACCUACACUAGCACCAGCACCAUCACCAGCAUCGUUACUAGAUGUUCCAGAACCAGCACCAGCACCAGCACCGGUGUUCGGCGAGAGUGAAAAGGGCCAUGGCCUUUUCGGUGAGGGCUCAGGAAUGUUCCCUCCUAAGGAGACUUCAACCACCACCACCACUUACGCUGAUGAAAAUGAGCUUUUGAACGAAGAACUUGAUGGUGUAACCUCUGACCAGAAGUAUGAAAACAGCAACUACAACAACAAUGGCUAUACUAGCACUUACAACAAUAAUGGUUACGAGAGGAGCAACUACAACAACAAGAACAACAACAAUGGCUACAAACUUGGUAGUGCUAGAUAUGAGACAGGUAAUCAAAACAACAAUGGCUACACCAACAAGUACUACAAUAAUGGCUACAAACUAGCUGGUGAAAGCUAUGAAGCAGGCAAUCAAAAUACUGAGAAUGGCUACGACAACAAUGGCAACACAAACAACUACAACAACAAUGGCUACACCAACAAGUACUACAAUAAUGGCUACAAACUAGCUGGUGAAAGCUAUGAAGCAGGCAGUCAGAAAAGUGAGAAUGGCUACAGCAACAACUACAACAACAACGGCUACACCAACAAGUACUACAAUAAUGGCUACAAGCUACCUGGUGAAAGCUAUGUAGUGGGCAACCAGAAUAGUGAGAAUGGCUACACCAACACCUACAACAACAAUGGCAACACAAACAACUACAACAACGAAGGCUACACCAACAAGUACUACAAUAAUGGCUACAAACUAGCUGGUGAAAGCCAUGAAGCAGGGAAUCAGAAUAGUGAGAAUGGUUACAGCAACAAUGGCAACGCAAACAACUACAACAACAAAGGCUACACCAACAAGUACUACAAUAAUGGCUACAAACUAGCUGGUGAAAGCUAUGAAGCAGGCAAUCAGAAUAGUGACAAUGGCUACACCCGCUAUGAGACUGAGAGACAAGGGAUGAGUGACACCAGAUAUAUGGAGGGUGGAAAGUACUAUUACAACGCGAAGAAUGAGA